GACUGCAAAUGUAAAUAUAGAUCGAGGAUAUAUAUGUUUUAUGUAUAGACUACAAAGUAGUUUAGAGAAAUAUAUAAAUUUACAUGUACAUACAUAUAGCGGUGUCAAAGGUUCCAGACAUGUAGCAGUUCAAAAGGUAAUGAGAAUUUCUCAUGCCAAUGCAUCAAAGUUGCUGUCCCUCCCUAAAAAAAGUUGUAGUCCCAAGUACAGUGCGACCAGUUUACAACUAAUCCUGUCACGCCACCAUUAUCUUAAUUGCAAGACAAUAGGCAGUAAGCUGCAUACGUAAGUUGGCUGUGGCUGGUAUGAUUCACUAACUCUGCUGACCAGUCACCUUUCAUUUAGGAUGUUUACUCCACCACUGGUAAACCCUCCACUAUCAUCUCUGUUUUCAAAAGACUGGCUCUAAAGAACAAAAGAAAUGAUAGAUGAACAAAUUAGUUUCAAUGCAGUAUAGAAAGUUUGAAGUGUAGCUACAAAAUAUAUCGCUUACAUGUAUUGGCAACAUCUUGGUUAGCAGAGGACCUGGUAGCACUCAUUUUUUCAAUCUGCGUAGCAGGGGCACAUCAAUUAAUAAGUUGAACUACCAAAAACAAAGUAAAAAAUAGAAGAAAAUGAGACAUUCAUUUACAGAGCCUCAUAGUUUCUGCGUAGCAUUCCAAGCUGUAUCACAUAAUAAGGCACAUUCCACACUAUAGUAUCACAUAAGGAAUGUUGUUAUACACUGAAAAUGAUCAUAGUAUCAAUAGGAAAAAUGCUUUGUAAAUUAUCCUUAAUGCUAUAUAAUUUAAUAAGGCACAUUUCAUAUCACAGUAUCACAUUAUGGAGCAUAAAUGGCAGGAGGCUAACUUACAUCAGUGAUUGCACGAGCUAGCUUUGCAUAUUGAAUGUAAGCUAGCAUAGCUAAAGAAGCACACAUCUAAUAACAUUGGCAUAAAUAAGAAAAAUCUUUGCAAUAAAAUAGUACAAUGAGUGUUCCAACAUAGUACAGAUAUGACAUUGGCGAAUAGCAAAAUGUUUCUAGCAAAAUGCUAGAAUCUGUGGUCCAGCAUAGUUUAGAACUUUAAAAGUUACUUGCUCUUCUUUUUAGUAAAAUGCAGGUACUACCAAUGGAUUCAUCAUAUCUCACAUAAAAGGUAAGUGUGGAUAUAGCCAACUUUACCUCUAUACAUGGGCAUGUUCAAAUUGGUUCAAAUUGAUAAGUUGUAAACUUAUGUUUUCAUGUUUCCAUAAAAUAAACAAAUAAAUGAUUUGAAGCCUAUCAUCAUUCUAUGAGUGGAUAAUGGUUCAGGAAACAACGCAAAUUAAUGGAAAGAUCAUUACCUGCAGGAGUACAGGGUAGGAGCAAAAAAAUGAUUUUAGCAUUAGCCGUCACACAUGCACUCCUGCAACAGAUAUAGACUGAUCUGGUUAAAUUAGAUCUGCUAGCAUCACAUGAAAAGCAAUUGAAAGAAGCAUAUCAUUUCUUAAUCCCAAAGUAAUGGCAGCUAAGAUCAUAAACCUCAGGUUCAUCCAUCUGAACUGAAACUGAGAGCAGGAAUAGACAUCAGAGCAAAAAAAAGUACAUAAGAACAUGGCCCUUCACACCUAAAUGCCUGAAUUCUUAGGCACAUACAUUAGAUCAUCCAUGAAGUAAAAUUAGAACCAACAUGUAAAUGUGAUUAAUGGAGAGAAGCACACACCUUUCGCUUGAGGAUUAUCACUCUGCUAAUGGGAAAUCCUGUACGACCAUUCUAUUUUCAAAGGAUGGAAAUGGAACCCGAUUCUACUUUAGCGCCAAGCUACAAAAAGGUAGUGAUAGAGAUCAAUCAAGAAGGGUGUGUGGCAAGUCAAGUUGAAGACAUUCAGUCAUGAUAGUCUGAUAACAAGGCGAUGAAAAUCAUUCUAGACUAAAUAAGAAUUAGGCACCUUCAAUAACACAUGAGACAACCAAGGUAAUAAGCAUUAUGUAUAAACCUUUCACAUGGAUUAACAUGGUAGCUGCAAUCCUAUACUCGGUGAUGGGACCUAAACAAAGUCCUAACUAACCUAUUUUCUAGAGAUAUCCUAGGAAGAUCAUGCUGGACAACACACUCCAAGAACCCAUAUGUCUUGAGAAAUCUCUGAACAGAAGCUCAUGUAUUAUCUGAAAAGCGGGUGGAAUUCACAAGAGUCUAAUUAGCAUAAUGCAAGUGACAAAAACUACACCCGCUAAUAUUUGUAUACACACCUCUGCAUAAUUCCAAAUAUUGUUCAUCUAAUUAUUCGCAUACCUAAUACGAAAUUAAAAAAUCAGCAAUAUAACCAAGACAUCUUUUAGCACUCAAAGACAGUAGAUAAAAUAUAUGAGAAAGUUGCAUAGUGGAUGAAGAACGACAUGUAUGACUUACCUACUACCUUCUUCCAACGGCAGUGGUGAUGGGCGUGUUAAUAAGCAACUGAUCCUUAUGACCUUUUUUUUUGUAGAACUCUAUUGACCUCACAAAGUUAGUACAAAAUAUAGGAUAACAGAAACAUAAUUAUAUUAUUACUACUAUUUUGCAUUUUACAUAACACAAGCAAAGCACGUAUGUGAUAAAGUACCUAAUCCUACAACUUUACAUAACAAACAGAGCAUGUAGCUAACACUACAAAAGCGAUCCUUGCAGACUCCCUAGUGUCUCAUAAGUAAAUACAAAUACGGAUUAGAAGUUCUCUUCUAACACUACACAAGCAGUCCUUGCAGACUCCCUAGUGUCUCAUAAGUAAAUAUAAAUGGUUAACCUUCCAAUCACAAAAUGGAAACCUUUUUUUGCAAUAGGCCGUUUCCUUCUUCCACCUCCCUUAUCUUAGGUUGCCUCACUUGGAUUCAUGGACGGAAAUGGAGCAAGACCUGACCAAGAUCUCAUCUAGAUCUAAUUCGUGACUGAAAAAAAAUAUCCUCUCAACCAUGGAUUUGCAGCUGAACUGGAGGGGGAGCAAAAGAGAGAGAGAGCACCUUAAUCUGGCCGGGCUGCAGGAGGCCAGCGUCCAGCUCGCCCAUGGCCAGGGACGCCACGUUGAGAGAGGGAGAAGGGGAAAACCUGCUGCAGCACGCACUGGUGGCGCCACCGUGUCGGCCGCCGCCGCGCUUUGCCCUCUCGCUGCGGCAGGAUGCCCAAGUUUAGGGUUUGGCUCAUCCGGCAUGAUAGCUAGGGUUUCACCCACAGGAGGAGCGCUGGCGUCACGGCCGGAGGCCGCAACGACGAGGCAGCACGGAGGAUGGAGGAGAGGGAGGGGGUUGUCGGGCCUCACCUGCGCCGUCGCCCUACCUGCAGGUCGCGCCGUCGCCUGGUGCGCCGCCGCCGUCACUUGAGGGAAAGGGAGAGAUAGAGAACACCGGACUUCUGGAGAGGUCGGGAGAAAGAGAGAGGGAGGGGAAAAGAUGGGGGGGGGAGAUUUUUUUACCGUGCACUGUACAUGACAUGGGGCUGAUUCUGGACCGUUGAUUGCGGAAUCCAACGGCUGAGGAGAUUAGGGAGACGUGGCCUAGCUGGCCUUUCGGGGAGCUCCUGCUGAAUGUAGUUGUAAAUGUCGGCAGCUCGCACGAUCAAGAGGGCCCUGUAGUCCGACGUCGACCUCUAGCCUAGUAGUACGCGUGGAACACGCCGGCCGGUGGGUUGUGGACGAAUGUGUUGAAUGAGAUCACUCGACACUAUGGUCGUGCCGCCGCCGCCGCCCACAAGGUAGUACAGGCCAAAGAAGCCGAAGGCAUCAAGGCGGUCGUAGACCGGCAGCUUCGUGGCGUACGUUCUACGGCUGUGCCAACAAUGCAAGCCGCCGCAGAACUCCAUGUGCAACGCCAUGUCUGUCUGUUGCGUCGCCGGCUGUAUUGGCCAUGGCCACGCACUCAGAGCCUAGCUGAGCCGCUGACCGAUACGCGAACGUGAAGGAGCUGAGAGAUGCGUCGGGAGGCGCGUCCACCAUGCAUCGAGGGUAGGGGCUCACCGUCAAUGGGGUGAACCCAUCGCCCACCCAAUUUUCUAAUAUCGUAUUACACUUCCGAUAGGGGUUUUUCACAAGAAAUUUAAUUUAACCAACUUAAUUACGCUGGCUUUGUAGGUAAUUUUGCCAUUUAAUUGUAUGGUUUUUGGACCCAGCUCCAGUACUUGGCUAAUUCUUUCUUCUAAUAAUAAUAUUUUACAAGCAAAACUUUUGGCAUAUGUUUAGAAGAAAGUUCUAGAACCAGAUGAAUUUACAAUCAAUGAUGGUCUCAAAGGAUAAGCUACCGAGACAAAUUUACCUAGACCAUGUUUGUUUGCCCCUCGAUUUAUGUACACCAGUUUUAUCAUACUGCCCUAUAUACUUUGGUUCUUAGCCGUGACAUGUAAAGUAAGCUAGUUUAUAUAAGCCAUGGACGACGGAAAACAAUUUGGUUUUAGCUACUGUAGCACUUUACACCUAUUCAUUUGAGCUGACCCUUUCAUAGUUAGUGUUUUCUGUCUUAGCGCCGCCGCAGCAGCUCUCAUCGUCCACCGCCGCUGGUCCCCCUCCCUUUCCCUCCGGUACCUCGCCAGAGAUUGAAAGGAGUGGGGAUCCAUUGUUUCUAAUAAGUUUUUCUUUAGUAGAUCGAGUCUAGGGUUAAUGUCUCUCCAUACCAAAUUUUUUGGUAUUGGAGUUUUAUCUUCUCUUUCUCCUCUCCGACGACGGUGAAGGAGAGAGGUGUAAUCGGCUUCUCCAUGGCGGCUCCGUUGAAGAUAAGGACGACAACUUCGGCGUCAGCAUCUUCAUCCAUAUGACGAGAUGGAGACUUUUGUUUCUAGACGGCGGCAUCAAGGCGAAGAUGAUGUCGCCGCCAUGGAAUAAUUUUCUCCAUUCUCUUCUCCGUUUUAUUGUGGUUAGAUCUAGCCACAAUGAAGGACUAGGGAGAAUAAUUUUCAGAUUAGUCAUCCUCACUCUUCGGUGGCAGAAAGAAGAAGAAGAAGGACGACACCAGAAAGAAGAAGUUCCUCAAUUCUGCCUACUGGAAUGUUGGCCGUCGUUCGUUGGGCUUUUGUUCUCAGGCCAUUUGCCGAGUGUUUGCCUAUACGGUCAUCUAUACUGCAAAGUAUCUAACAGGUUAGGUUUUACGUUGAGCUUUACACAGCGUGAGUAUUAUAUUGUAAUCCAAAGUGCAUGUAAAGUAUUUGAUGUACUCAGCUAUUAUAUAAUAUAAUUCUUCUUUCAUCGCAAAAAAAACCUGUUCGCUUGAGCUUAUCUGUCAAAUUUGCCAUCCAUUUAACAGUAUUUUUCUCUAACAACAAAUCAGCCAAUAGUACUUUCCGCCAUGUCUUAGAGCACUCUCAAUGCAGAAAUCAUCAUAAUUUUUAUAGACAUUAAUUAUAGUGUCACUUAAGCAUUUUACUGACGUGGCAAUCUAGUUAUUGAAGAGAGAGCAAAAAUCAUAAAAACUGGGUCAUGCCCGUUCUUGUCUUAUCAGCCGUACUUUUUUCUACGAGCCAGCAAUAUUUUUCUCUCAUAAUAAAUCAGCCAACAGUAAUUUCAGUUAUGACUUUUCAGACCAGUGAAUGAAUGUCUAUAGAAUAGAGAAAGAAUGAAUGUGAUUGGAUAAAAAAUAUUAUGUAGAAAUUAUUCAUUGGGACCACAAUUUGUAUAUAUAUAGUGUCUAUAGAAAUUAAUGAGUAUAGAAAUUACAUAUAGUUUCUAGCAUUGGGAGUGUCCUUAUCACCAAACGAACAAGGCAGUUCAUUUGUAUUAAACAAUUAUUGUCUAAUCAUAGACAAACUAGGCUCAAAAGAUUCGUCUCGUAAAUUAUAGGUAAACUAUAUAAUUAGUUAUUUUUUAUAUAUAUUUAAUACUUUAUGUAUAUCGAAAGAUUUAAUUUGAUAAAGAAUCUUAAAGAUCUUUGAGACCUAAUCCUUUAGAGUAGAUUAGAAGACCUGUUCCGUGUAUAACAAGGCAAGGCCAUGUUUAGAUCCAAAAAGUUUUUAGAUUUUGAUAUUGUAGUAAUUUUGUUUUUAUUUGACAAACAUUGUCCAAUUAUGGAGUAACUAGACUUAAAAGAUUUGUCUCGCGAUUACAUGCAAACUGUGCAUUUAGUUUUUAUUUUUAUCUAUAUUAAAUGCUCCAUACAUGUGCUAUAAGAUUCGAUGUGACGGGAAAUCUUAAAAAGUUUUUGAUUUCGGUUUUAUUUGACAACGUUGUCCAAUUAUAGAGUAACUAGACUUAAAAGAUUUGUCUCACGAUUUACAGGUAAACUGUGCAGUUAGUUUUUAUUUUUAUCUAUAUUUAAUACUUCAUACAUGUGCCGCAAGAUUUGAUGUGACAGAGAAUCUGGAUUUUUUUUAUUUUUAGGAUGAACUAGGCGUGGUUUAGUUCGCGAAAAAUUUUGAAUUUCGCUACUGUAGCAUUUUUGUUUGUUUGUAGCAAAUAUUUCCAAUCAUAGACUAACUAGGGUCAAAAGAUUCGUCUCGCGAUUUAUAGGCAAACUGUAUAAUUAGUUUUUGUUUUCGUUUAUAUUUAAUGUUUCAUGCAUGUGCCGCAAGAUUCAAUAUGAUGAGAAAUCUUGAAAAAAUUUAGGAACUAAGGGCCUGUUUAGAUUGGAGAUAAAAAUUUUUUGGGUGUCACAUCGUAUAUGUCGGAAGGAUGUCGAGACGGGUUUUUAGAAACUAAUAAAAAAAUAAAUUACAUAGCUCGCCAGGAAACUGCAAGACAAAUCUAUUAACUAUAAUUAAUCUGUCAUUAGCACAUGUGGGUUACUGUAGCACUUAAGGCUAAUCAUGAACUAACUAGGUUUAAAAGAUUCGUCUCGCGAUUUUCAACCAAACUGUGUAAUUAGUUUAUUUUUUUAUAUAUAUUUAAUGUUCUAUGCAUGUGUUGAAAGAUUCGAUGGAAUUGAUGAAAUUUUUUUGGUAGGGAACUAAACAGGGCCUAAACAAGGCCUGAAAUUCUUGGAAAUUUAUGUGUGGACUCUUGACCGGACUCGUGGGCUGGCACAUUCGCCUGUGACUGCCGAUUGUGUCGUCCACCCAAUGGGCAAUGGCCCACCGGCCACCGCAUCGAGAAAGGCGUGCCGAGCCCAUCCGCGCAUGCCGAUUUUGGACGGACGGUGCGGCCUCUAUCCGUAUGACUCUACCCGUUUAGUGCCAAACUGCUUGCUGAGGCUAGUGGAAGCAGUGAGCGCUGCUAUUUAGGAGAGCCAGGAGCGUUGUGGGAAGAGCAAGCAGCUGCGCAGUGGGCACAAAGCGAACUAUUCUUUCGCCUUUUACUAAAGAAUACCGUGUGCCCGCUGCACCAAGCAGCAUACGCCUAUUUUUGGAGGGUUCUUCCUCUUUGUGAGGAGGUGCCCAACAAUUCAAUCCAAUUGUUGUGGGCUGACAAUAAUCAGAACAAAUAUUUUAGGUCUGUUAAAAAAUAGGCUAAGAUUGGUUUUGGAGGAGCCCAAUAAUUCAAAUCAAUACCAGUUUAGGCCUUGUUUAGAUCUAGUUUAGGCCUUGUUUAGAUCAAAAAGUUUUUAGAUUUUAAUAUUAUAGUAUUUUUGUUUUUAUUUGACAAAUAUUGUCUAAUCAUAGAGUAACUAGGUUUAAAAGAUUCGUUUUACGAUUUACAGGUAAACUGUCUAAUUAGUUAUUUUUUAUUUAUAUAUAAUGCUCUAUGUAUGUGCCACAAGAUUCGAUCUGAUGGAGAAUCUUGUCAAGUUUUGAAUUUUGGGUGCAAGAUUCGUUUCGCGAUUUACAGGUAAACUGUGUAAUUAGUUAUUUUUUUAUUUAUAUAUAAUGCUCUAUGUAUGUGCCACAAGAUUCGAUCUGAUGGAGAAUCUUGUCAAGUUUUGGAUUUUGGGUGCAUGUAAGUAAGGCCUCAGUGGGCACAUCUAAUCCGAGAUCGUUUGUACACCAUACAACAUUUGGAAUCUGAAGCUCAAACAGAAAGUAGCUCAAACGGAUAGAGUCAUACGAGCUCAUCUGAACACGAUCAAGUGCACAGCCGGCUUGCCCCUAUGGUUCUGUUUAUUCUUCUUCUUUUUCUUCUUUUUUUUUCUUUCACUAGCAAAAAUGUACGUGCGUUGCAUUGAAAAAAACUAUAUCAAACUAUAUUUAUAUCUUUAUUACCUAAUUAUAUAUAUCUAUAUCUAUAUCUAUACUUAAUAAUAAAGAGACAAAAUUUUAAAUCUUCCUCUAACUAUCGAAUGAUGGAGAGUUUUUUUUAUCUAGAUGUCAAUCAGAGGCAAAAGAAAAAAUCAAAGUCCUAAUCUGGAGCUCCUUCGUUGGAUUCUGAUCGAGCCCAACUAUUCGUUUUUUUGCCUCUAAAAUUGAUUUAAACUCGUGUUAGGCUUCCGAUUUAGAUUCAGUUCAUAACUUUUCUUUUUUCCCAUAACCCAAUCGGACCAGGAGUUCUCGUGCCAUAAACAAAAAAUAAGCUAAAAAUAAUAGGAAACCAGAUACGAACGAGAGGAGCAUUGUUUAAUUAAUAUUUAGACCGGCGAACAUAUAAAGAUAUAGUGGACUGAAAUUUUUACAAUUAUAUAUUAGAAAAAAGAUAAUACAAUAGAACUUAUCCCUUUCAUUUGCAUCUCUUACCUGUUCCAUGUCGAUGGGCAUCUAUGACCCAAAGUUGGCCAAACAUAUUCAGUGGGCUGGCCCACUUAGCGGAGAGCCCGUGCAUGGUGGAUGGGUGGUGUUGGGUACCAUAAAAAGGAUACCCAAAUCAGGAGAAUAAAAAUCGCAAAAAAGGGAUAAGGCAAGCACAUGAGAGUACUUAGGCUCGGGCGCAAGCUCCGUCUCGCCCGACCCCUUGGCCUCGGGCGCAAACUCCGUCUCGCCCGACCCCUUGACCUCGGACGCAGGUUCCGCCUCGCCCGACCCCUCAGGCGGUCGGGCGCAAACACCGCCUCGCCCGAGCCUCCACCUCGGAGCCAGGCUUCCAACGCACGAUGGCCGUACCCCCGAUGUGACAUUCGCCAUGACCCCCAUGCUGCGGCAGGGCACGAUGGCAACUAUUCCAACCACUCCAGUCACUGUGUAGCCUUACCUCUUUCACUGUGAAGUACCGCCUCACAGUAAAAGAGGUAUGGAAGAGAUUAACCCGCGUCACUGUGGCUGUCUUUUCUACUAUUACAGGACACGCUGCAGUAUCACCGACCCGACCCCCACGACGUCAACAGGGCUCGGCAACCCUCCACAGGAGCGGCCAUGCUGUCAGCCAUGCCCCGAGGACGAGAUGGGCAAGCCUCCACAGGGUCGGAACUGUUACUUCACCAUUUACUAGGGGUAGAUCACCACUCAGCACAUGUAAAAACCCUGCGACCCCUUGUGGCUAUAAAAGGGGAGCCAGGGCACACAUCCAAGGCACGCUCACAACACUAGAACACAAGGCAAGACCACACACACACUCGGGUGCAAGGCAAUACAGGCUCCGACUCUCACACUGGACGUAGGGCACACUUAGCCCGAACCAGUAUAAUUCCCUGUGUUCCACUUGCAUCACCAUUCGCGUUUAGGAGGACACGUAGACUUAUUACUCGUUAGUGUCUAGACGACGAGUCUAGACGCCGACAGUUGGCGUGCCAGGUAGGGGACUUCUGUGUUGUACUUUCCUUUCCCCGUUAGGGAAAGCCGGGAUGGCAGACGGAUUUCGCCCACUUCGCCUCGGCACCAUCAUGAUGUUUGGGAGUUUGGAGUUCAUGUCCCUUGGCUCUGGCUAUGACAUGGUCCUCCUCCCACCUCGUGACGACAUCGAGCCCCGUUCCAAGCCGAUCCCACCAUAGCCAGUGCGUGGGAGGCGCUCGGGGCAUCAUGGAGGGGGAGACCGGCGCGGGCGUCAGAGGUCUAGCAUCUCCGACCCUGCCACCGAAGCAAGGGCCCGUCCGGCCUCCCCCCGCAUAUCCCUCACCAGAUUGCCCAUUCUUCUGGCCCACGAGGCGCUAGGGGAAGGGCUCGUGGAGCAUCAAGCUCUGCUCCACGAACCAACAGGGGGACAUCACGACCCCCUGUUCCGUCCCGAUCAAAGUGCAAAGCACGGCUCCCACUUCCUCCUCAGAGGAAGGAAUAGGGGACCUCAACUUCUCGUCGCCCUCCAGCUAUGGAUGGAGGAAUGGCAGCUACGCCUUCUGAGCUCCCUUUUGAGUUCAGGAGCACAGCCGCCACCUAUGCCUCUUCAGCGAGCACUUCGUUAAGUGCAUACGUGGACCUUCCAGGGCAUCACCUGAGGUCUACCCUGGACCUCAUCUCAACACCGCCUGUUUUGUCAUACCCCGAGGAUCCCACCUCAGGGGAAGGAGAAUGGGCUGGCGCUGAUUUUUCCGCCUGUGGCGACCCAGAAACUUUCAUGCGCUUUCUUGAGGCUAGCAACUAUUGCCUCGGCUACUCCGACUCUGAUUACGGCGGCUACGACCCGUCGCGAGAGUGCUUCAACCUCGAGGUUGGAGGAGCAUCCGCUGACGCAUAAGGUCGCGCAGGACCCUCUGAGCGGCGGAGCACGACUCCCCCUCCAAACACAACUCUCGGAAGGCAUCCUGGAGCGCGCGGGAUUACGUCAGCCCUGACAGAGGUUCGACGCCCUGACCUCGAGCAGCUCGAUGAGCUAGAGGCCAGGCUCGAAGAAGAACGUGUACGCCUCCGACAACUGCGCGAGACCCUGGUGCAGGACCAGUCUGCCCGGGGGGACAGAGGCGCGGCUAGACACUGUGCCCGGGACGUCAACCGCCGCAUUAUCGAGGACAAAGGGGGAGACAAUCCCCCAGUCUUCAGCACGACCAGCCAGAAUGUAAUGGCUGCCGCACUCCUCCUUAGAGCGAUGCCCGAGCCAUCGACUCCUGAGGGGAGAAGGGUGCGCCAGGGGCUACGUGGCCUCCUGGAGCAGGCCUUGGUACAAAACGCAAAGAGUUCCGCAUCACAGUCCCACGGUGCAAGACACCUAGGGGAUCACCCCCCUCCUAACAAGGCACCAACGGUACAGGGCCCGACACCCCCUAAUCCGCAAGGGGGCGUCAGAGCCCCAUUUGUCCACGAACGCGUCCUCAGUUAAAUCAAAUAGCUGCUGUUGUUCCUGCUACUAACCCUGGUAUACCAUCACAACCGGAAGGAUUAGAAUCUACAAAUGUUGUAGACAUGUUUGAUACAGAUAACUACUGGAGUAACCCCGUUACAGAAGUUACUACUGACCUUCUGCCGGUCAAGAGAGGCGAUCCAGGACUCCCCGUCAUCCCGAUCUCCAUCAGCAUGGUGGACUUCCCAGAAGCACUCUGUGACUUUGGCUCUAGUGUCAACAUUAGGCCUAGGGUACUCUAUGAAAAAUUCUUUACAUAUCCUUUGUUAGAAACAACCAUGUGUUUGCAGCUUGCAGAUCGGACACUAAGUUUCCCUAAGGGAAUAUUGAAAAACCUCUGUGUCUGAGUUGGUACCUUAUACGCCCCAGCAGACUUCGUGGUGAUAGAGAUCGGUAAUGAUGAGAGGGCACCUGUCAUCUUAGGGAGGCCAUUCCUGAACACCUCGGGAGCUGUCAUCUACGCUAGUGCUGCCAAGAUCAGUUUCUACAUCAAAGGAAGGAAGGAGACAUUUUCCUUCAACAACAAGACUACACAAAUCCCAGAGCAAUCCCGACAUAAACCAAGGAAGAGGACCAAUAGGAGGAACAGGAACAAGCAAGUAUGGACCGAGUCAACUAAGAUGGUCACUGUAGUUCAAGGAGAUUAAGAUCAUCGACUUAAGUCACCGUUCCUGACCAAGAAGGACGACCUAGGUAUGCCAAGCCUCUAUUGCUCCAUCAAUGGAUACAACUUCUACAAGACACUUUGCGACACCGGAUCGGGCGUCAACAUAAUGGCCGCAGUCACCUAUCAGCUCUUGUUCGGAACCAUGCCCCUAAAACCGACAUACAUUCAGCUCCAGAUGGCAGAUCAGACAUUCCGAAAGGUUGAAGAUAUAGUAACUGAUGUCCCUGUCAAAAUAGACGAUCAUUUUGUCCAUACAGACUUUCAGGUUAUUGACAUGGGAGAAGACGAGUACGAUCCACCCAUCAUCCUUGGGAGACCGUUCCUCAGCACCGUUAAAGCAAUCAUCUACAUUGGAACUGGAGAAGUCCACAUGCACUUCCCCUCGGAGAAGAAGACGACGCAACUGCAACCAGAGGAGGCAAAUCAUCAAGGACGGAUGGGCAGACUAUGAAGGAGAAGUGGUAAGGUCUGAAGACAUACAACUUGAACAGAAUUAUCCUAAAGAGACCGUAGCACCGAGUCAGGUGUGGAGAGAGAAGAUAGUUAUACAUGAAGAAGAGGCGCCGCCGGAAGCACCGACUACGCCAUCCAACGAAUUCCAGGACAACUGAGAAAACGGAGAGUCCCGUUCGGAGGACUUAAAAACACCGAACGCCUUGCCAAGAGAUAAACUUGGUAGUUAUCUUUUUCCUUUCAAUUAUUCCAAAUAGUUUUCUUAGUUAAUCAGAUUUAUACUAUCCAAAAAAGAAAAUAAAAAUGUUAAAAAAUAGUAAGCCCCAUGUGAGUAUACGAAUGGCAUAAAACCCAUAAGUACAUUCACUAUGGAGGCAUAAAAAUAAAAUAAAUAUUUUUUCUGCUUUAUAAAAUGAAAAUAUAAAAAUAGAGAGUAACAUUUAUUGAGGAGGCUCAACAUGAUAAUGGCUAGAUAUUUAUGCUAACACCUAAUUAGUUCCACAAAGCUUUGUUGUCUAUUUGAGCUCUACAGAAUUCAUGUAUCAAGAAGACUAGGAGACAGAGGAUAUUCUAAUCGCUGUCAGGGUGCUGUGGACUUUUAAAUACACCUCUGCCACCUGUUAGCUACAUCAGAAAAAAUUACGUCAAAAUUCAGCUUGGGGGAGAGCACCCCCAUUUAUCCCGCUAAGUAUUUCUAUCUACAUAUAUACUUAUACUAUAUUAAAAUAAAAAUACGCAUAACCAGAAAAAACCAAAUAAAGAUUUUGUGCUUAUAUAUCUUUUGCUUAGUGUGCUUAAUAAAUAAAUAAAGUGGCUAUGCUAAACUUAAUCUUAAUAAUAAAACUCUAGCAUGGAUAUGAUGAAUAGUUGCUCUGCCUAAUUUUCAAAUUUGAGUUCUCUCUCUAGUUUAGACAUAACCGUUAUAAUUUAAAGCUUGCUCUAAACCUGAACUUGUGGGAAGAGAACUUGAUCUGAAGUUUAAGUUGUUAACGGAUAUGAUAUGGGAAGGUUGAGCUGCUGUUUAUCUGUUUCUAGAGAUGCUAAAAUUCUGGAGAAUUUUAUCUUUGAAAAUCUUUAAAAUAUCACAUGAUGAGUUCCUGUAUGAUGAGAAGUUUAAAUUCCUACCACAGCCAUAUAUACAUGCUUGCUAGACUUUGAGCCACACAUUUACUUUUUACUGCUUAUGAGCAUUGAGUGUGGUCAAGCUGUGUAGAUCUAUAGGAGCUUGUCAUGUGGUUAAAUCAAGAUUCACUUGCACGUUCACUCACACAUGCUGCUUCUACUCCGGAAGUACGCAUCCAUAUAUAUCCACUCAUUUCCAUCUCAAGAACCACCCAAAAGUAUUCUACUCCUAAUCCAGGAGAGAAUAGCCAAAAACAUUUCUGUUCUGUGAAAUAAAUGCUCAAGUUAUCUUGGUUACUACCACUUGCUAUAUUAUUUCAGGAGAUGAGUGCUCUAAAAGAAAAAAAAAUAUACGAGGAAAUAAAAAGGGGCAAGUGCCCGGAACCUCGAAAGAAAAGAAAAAGUGAGACGAGAGGUAAAAAUGGACAAGUGUCCGACAGUAGAAUUAGGGGUACAAGAUACCCACCUGAAAGGAAAGAAAAAAAAAUAUAGAGCAUCUCAUUCUCCUCAAAAAGUUUCAAAAGAGCAAGAAAGGUAUGUAUCCCCUCAAAAGAGCAACAAGUAGAAUUAGACUUUCACCAUUGUUAUCACCAUCAACACCAUACACCAUUCAUUCGCCACACAUGCACAUCUUGAUUUGACUUAUUGACUUGUUUCUCUGGAUCCAUGGUUUGACUAUGCAAUAAAUGUCUUGUAAGUAUGUACACUUUAUCUCCCACCUAUGAGCUCCAAAUAUCAAAGCCUUAUUAGAGUAGGAUGAGAGAGAAGGCAAUGUCACUAUGCUUCAUACCACAUACUUUGAGAGAAGGCAUAUACCAUCACUGCCUUGGUAAGGAUCCAGAAAUACCACAAAAGCGAGAUCUGAGAGAGUCAUACAAGGAAUCUCUGAGUUUUAUUUGAAAAUCUGCAAAAAUUCCAGAGCUAUAGCUGAUCAAGAAUAAGAGACAUAGUACUUGACUAGACCGUUCUAUCUUUUAACUACUCAAGACAGAACUGACGGUUACAAGUCCCAUGGUAAAAGGUAAAAUAAGUAAGUUUGAAGUCUUGACAGUUUACUCUAACUCAGAGAUGAGACCUUAUUUGAAAGCAUGUGUACCGACAAUUUUUAAAGGCAUUACAGCAACUUCUGAUCCAUCACUGAGAUUAUCCUUGCUCAGGGACGAGCAAGAGGUAAGCUUGGGGGAGUUUGUUGACGGUCCUUAAGUAUCAAAUAUAAUCAACAAAUAAACAGAGAAAAGGAUCCAAAUGCAACCGACACCUAGACUUAGGGUUCUAUCUGACAGAAUUCCAUGAGUUUUGGUGUUUGUCUAUUUCUGCAGGGGGUUAUUAGGAAAUAUGGAAGAAAGGCCCACACGUCGGGUUUACAUAGAGAUAUUAACGUGCCACGCAAUUAUCUAACAUCUAGAAGAGUCCAGAAGGCACGGGAAUGAACGGGAGGCCGAUCGGGCCCGGGGGCAGGGCGCCCACCCUCCCCCCUUGGGCGCCCGCCCUGGCCAGGCAGCUAAUCAGAACCAACUUCGCGGAUCAUGCUCCACCGACCUAAAGGAUCAAGGAAAACCGUGCGAUUAAUGUCGGUUUGAUCCGACGGUCCACAUUCAUUUGGAAGGACUAUAUAAGCAGACCCCCUGGCCCCUGGAGGAGAGCACCUCUAUCCCUUAGAAACCCUAAUUCAUUUAUCCAUCUCGGGAGAAGAAGCCUCUGAUCAAGCCCUAGAGCCACCACAUCAAUAGAUCUCUAGUUUAGCAUAGCUACAUAGGAUUAGAACUAGAAGGAGUCAAUCUUCGAUUGGUUUCCAGAUCUGUCAAGAGGAUUCUUGGUAAUUCCUCUAUUGUUCUUCAAUUGUUCAUCAUUGUUCUUCAAUAUUAUGAAUAUGACUUUGUUCUACUUCAAUAUAUUGAUUAUGACUUUGCUCUAUUUGUUUAUAUUUGCAAUUAUAUUGUUCUUAGUUUAUCAUAGUUAUAUGCUUGGCUUAGUUAGAUUGGAAUUAUAUACAUGUUUAGGAUCGUAUAGCGUUUAUCCAUGUGUACAGUGGGUAAAUGAUAAGUAUUGUGUAGGCGUGGUGCCUAUACCGUAUUUAUCUACGAUUGUACUCUAUAUGCCAGAUCGCGGGGUAGUUCGUGGUAGUGACAGCUCUAUUGAUUCUUAUAUAGUCCCCAUCUCGUGUAUAGGGCUGGCAGUGCAACAUUAUUACAGGGGAGUGAUUGCUAUGUUUCUCAUCUUCCUUGAUAAUAUCACUAUGCAUGGGCGUAGUCCUGUCUCGCAAUGAUUGCCAAGUAUAAUUGCACUAACUAUGAUAUGCUAGACUUUAUAGUUAAGAAUAACUUAGGAAAUAUUCUUGUAGUUCGUCCUAAUUCCAUACUAAUGACUUGCUAGAAUAUCUAUUGAGGUGCUUAUCAUAUUUAUAUGUGGCUAAGUUAUGCUGAUCAGAUUAAUUAUCUUUGUCAUUAUUCAUACUUUAUCUAUCUUUUAUGUGACAUUUAUCCCUGUAUGAAAGAGAUGGAUAAAUGCUCUCAAUUAUACAUGCAGUGAUAGAUACUCAAUUCUAUAUUCCAUUCCAUAAUCAACAUUGAUGUUUAGCAAUCCCUUCCCAGUGGUAAAAAUAUAAAUAACGAUAACUAGAAUACUUCCCGGUUAAAAUGCUACAUCGGUAUUAAUCUGUGCACUUGCAGAUCUUAUUUAUUAUUUAUUCAGAAGAGCAAUUGCAUAUUUUAAUACUGCGUCUCUCAUGUCAUGCUGGGGAUGACAACUUGGCUUAAGUGGCAUGAGGGAUAGGUUUGGCAUUUUUGGCGCCGUUAUCAGAAUUAGAAAACUAAGUCUAUUUUUGGUAGUGACGUUAAGAAUGCCCAACAACUUCCAGGGCACAUACGUGCGUCCUGGAAAUUCCUGGGAUCUCAGGAGCUGCCGGCAGAAGUCUGACGAGUCUCUCUGAGAUUUCAUCAGGCGAUUCUCCAAGCAAUGCACCGAGCUUCCCAACAUCACAGACUCCGACGUCAUCGGAGCCUUCAUUGCUGGCACAACCUACAAAGAGCUGGUACACGAGCUCGGGCGCAAGACUCCCACGAGCACCAGUCAGUUGCUGGACAUUGCCACCAACUUUGCCUCAGGCGAAGAGGCAGUUGGUGCAAUUUUCUCCGAUGGCACCGCCAAGGGGAAGGCCACCGAGGCCUCAGACUCCCGCGACCCUAAGAAGAAGAGAAAGGGUCGCAAGGGGAAGCAGGGUCGGUCGGACGACAAUUUGGUCGCCGCGGCGGAUCGCAAGAACCCCAAGCGGGCUCCUGCUGGCCUCGGCCUCUACGUCGGUGCUAUACUGUGGGGGUAUAAACCUCUAUACCCUGACGGCUAGACUUGGGCCAGGAGGCUUGGCCCAUCAUGAGAUAGCUCGAGGCUUGAUCCAACUGCUUGGAGUUUCGCGCAAAGAAACAGGACGUAGGGAUCAAGCAGGAUUCUAGUCGGUUAGAAUAGGAAUUGAUAUUAUGUUACCUAUGGAAAUUGUAACCGACUAGGAUUAGUUUCCAAGAUCUGUAGCCCUACCCUCUGGACUAUAUAAAGAGAGGCAAGGGACCCCCCUUAGAUAACUCAACUCAACACAAUUCAAUCCGCAGCAAUACAAUCAGACGCAGCGCCCCCCCCGGGUUUUUCCCGCUUCCCGGUCAUUCCACCUCGACGAGGAGACAUGGUCCUCAACGUCAGCAAUGAUGAGCCAGCUAUCGACGGUGAAACCGACGAACAAAGACAGCAGCGCGAACAGCGCAACGCCGACCGCGCCCAACGAUGAGCAGAUGAGGAGCGGCAACUCAUCCCAAACAACCUUGGUGAUGCUUUCGACAUGGUCGGAAAUCAGCAAGUCUACAAGACACUAAGCGCUAAUGUGGCCGUCGCCAUGGCAAACUUAGAUCGACUUCCUGAUACUCCAGAAUAUCAGGACUCCGAUCUAACAUAUGAGCACAUCUGAUCGCCGCGAUGGGACAGACCGCUACUUUGCUCAAAAGGGUCCAAGCCAUCUCCUAUACGGAGGUUUCCUCUAACCAGACUCACCACAGCCGAACUUCACUGCGACCCAGCGGGCAUCAUCAUAGUCGUUCGCCCGUCAAUGAUUGCAGGAGGGACACCCAUCGCGACAACCGUGGUCGGGAUCCUGGCAAUUACCACGAACAAAGAUGAGGGCGUGGUCAGGAGGUGAACCAAGACCGAGACCUACGGCACAACAUCCCUCCUAAAGAUGUCCGCGAGCGCAUCAACAGGCGCAUUACAGAACGAGCAUUACACGAAAACGUACGACGCAUCGAGUACGAUGCGGCACAUGGCCCCCCGGCCUAAAACAGUUCUCCUCACACCUUCGCCAAGUCGUAUGACCCCGCAACUUCAAGCUCGAGAAGCUUAAAAAGUAUGAUGGCAAGGAGAAUCCCAAAAACUGGAUCACUCUUUAUGAGAUCGCAGUCCGAUCGGUAGCAGGAGACGAGCACGUCAUGGCAAACUAUUUCCCAGUCGUCUUUGACCAAGCUAGUCACCAAUGGCUCCUCGGUCUACCCGAGGACUCUUUUGAUUCUUGGGAGGAAUUGCGCCAGGCGUUUAUUGACAACUUCAUUGCUACGUGUGAGCAGCCUGGAAAUAAAUACGAUCUUGAGAGGAUAAGGGACAGGAAGAAUGAGCCCCUGCGCGACUACAUCCGACGCUUCUUGGAUAUGCGUCUCAAGAUUCUGAAGAUUUCCCACGACGAGGCCAUAUCAGCCUUCAUCAAAGGCUUGCGCUUCCACGAAGCACUAAGAAGCAAAUUACUACGCAAAAGGUCGACCAUGGUCGCCGAACUCCUCGCCACAGCCAAGAACUACGCCGAUGCCGACGACGCAGAAAAACUCAUCCGAGAAGACGUACGAGGAGCCGAGCAGCCUCCUCGACGAGACGAUAGCUGUGGCCGUUUUGACAACCGGAAUCCCUGCCACGGCAACAACCGCGACCACCGAGAAGGGUGGGACAGGCGUCAUGAUAAUCGUGACAAUUUCAGAGGCAAGCGACCUCGCGACAGCGAUCACGAGGUAAACACAGUCAAGCGUCCCAACGGACGGCGUUACUACCAGGAAGACUACAACAAGACGCUGAAAGGAUCGUGCCAACUCCAUCCCAAGUCCAACCACAUGAUGGAAGAAUGCCGUGUCCUCAAAAGCAUCUACACACAGUGGGCCGAUCAGGGAGACGCCGCCAAGAAAAACGGGAAACAGGACAGACGCAGUCAGGAAGACGACGAUGAUGACCAGGAUAGGGACCCACCACACCAAUACGUUAGUCCCACCGAUGUGGUAUGUUGACGAUUCUUAAGUACCAAUUUUAAUUAUCAAAUAAACAAGAGAAAUGACCAAUAUGCAAACAACACCUAGAAUUAGGAUUUGAUCUGACAGAAUUCCACGAGUUUUGUUGUUUAUCUGUUUCUGCAGGGGGUUAUCAGGAAAUAAGGAAGAAAGGCCCACAUGUCGGGAUUACAUAGAGAUAUCAAUGCACCGCGCGAUUUUCUACCAUCUAGAAGACUCCAGAAGCCACGGGAAGAAAGCAGAGGCCGAAAGGGGCCAGGCCCAGGGCGCCCGCUCUGGUGACCUGGGCGCCCGCCCCCUGCUGGAAGCCAUUCAGGACUCUCUUCGCACACGAUGUUCCACCGACCUAUUGGAUCCAGAAUAACGUAGUACCACCUCGCCUACCGACCCAAAAACGCAUAGAGGAGGAGGACUAUAUAAGGAGACCCCCCUGGCCCCUAGAGGUGAGGGGUGCCCUCGAAGGAAAACCUCUUCUCUAAUUAAUAUUUCUUUUUAGGCUUAGCAACCAAUGUAAAGUAGAAAUAGAUCUUCUAGUUUCUACUAGAUUGAGAGAGAUAGAGUGGAGGUGUAGAUUGGAGGAAGUCCGGCCUGUCGGUGUCUACUCCAAGCUUGUAUCUGCGGGAUCAAGUUCUCCUAACCCGAAGCUUGCUCCUAGGAUUCUUCAGUAUUUCGACUUCUAAAUUCUAGUAAGUUCUUGUUUUAUUGUUCUUCUAGUUUAUGAGUUUACUUUAAUCUCUUCGCGUAGAGUUUAGAGUAAUCAUUGCUGGCGUAAACGUGGUGUUUAGGCUAGGGUACUCAUAGAUAUUCCCUGACUAGCUAGACCGUGGUAGUAGCGAGGAACGUGACAAUUCCGAGUUACCUUUGCAGACCAUAUCUCGUUAGCAGGAAGGAUAGGGUUUAUAUGUGCGGGUUGAACAUCCUUUGUGGUGUCUAGAUUCCGUUAGCCUCCCCAAUAGAACAGUAGAUCAUCUUUACCAAGGUUAGAAGGAGACUACGGUUGCAGUCUUCUCUAUUUAUCACUCACAUCGAAAGACAUUCUUUGUGCCUAAAGGGUUAGUAGUAAUAGACCGGUUAGUCAGAUGCACUCUUUCUCCUAGUGCUAAAAAAAUAAAUACGAUACUCUGGAUAACCUCCCGGGUGAAGUGCUCACCGAUAUCCGUGCGCUUGCGGAUCAAUUCCUUAUUGCGUUCCCAAAUAUCAACAAGCAUUUCUGGCGCCGUUGCCGGGGAGAAAGACGGUUUGCUGAGAUAACCUUGAGUCUUACUACUAGCUUGUAUCUAUACUUUUAUCUUUUCUUAUCUUUUAUAUUCUUUGCUUAUUUUCUUUAUUCUUACCUUAUGAAAAACCAAAAUUCUAAAUUUAUCCAUGAAUCUGCAAUCCCUUCAGCAACUGACCUUUUACCAUGGGAAUCAUCACAGCCUAUCCAAACAUCCGAGUAUAAGUUAAGUUCUAGGUUGAUUGCCAUGAUUCAAAACCUAUCUUUUUCGGGAAAGGAAGACGAAAACCCUUACCUUCAUAUUAGAGAUUUUGAGCAAACAUGUGAUUGUCUUCGCAUUGAAGGCAUUUCUGAUAAAACUUUACGUUGGAAGCUUUUUCCUUUUUCUUUAAGAGGAGAAGCUAGACAAUGGUACAGUCAGAAGGUAAGUCAACAACGAGGUGAAUGGGGAGUUUUACGAGCCAACUUUUGUCUAGAUUUCUAUUCCCUCGACCGUAUAGCCGACCUUAGACUCGAAGUCCUAUCUUUUAAACAAAAAGAUAAUGAAACUUUGGGAAAAUCCUGGAAACGUUUUUCUGAUCUUUUAGAAUCUAGUCCAAACCUUAAUUUUGAAGACCCUGUUCUUUUAUUUCACUUUUUUCGAGGUCUUCAAAAAAAUCACAAACAAAUGCUACAUACAAUGUCUAGAGGUUCUUUCUUUCGUAUCCCUACUGAUGAAGCUAGAGUGAUCCUAGAUAGAAUCCUAGAAGCUGAGAUAGAUAAUACCCUUCAUGAUGAAACCUACGAAGUCGAAGUAGACACUCUGCCAAAUUCUUUAUCUACUUUAGCUAUCCCAAGUUCUGAGCCACAAGAGGAAGAAAUUCCACCACCGGACUUCAUGCUGGAUAUAGAAUCUGAUCUUUUUGCCGAUUUUGGAAACAUUUCAAACUACCAUUCUAUUGACAAACCCCAAAACGACCAGUUUAGCAUUUAUUUGCCAAGUGAAUAUCAAUUGAGAGAGCUUAUCUCAGUCAUGAGUAGCGAAUGGUUGGAGGAAUCAGAGCUUUCCUCUGAUGUGAUCCGUUUGGACACACCCUCUAUAACUAUACACUGUGCUUAUAAUUCUGAUCGAUUUAAUGCUCUCUAUAAUCCUGUUGUGGGGAUCAACAUCAUGUCUGAAUCUUUUGCACUUAAACUAUUCAAAAAUCUUGUCUUAACCCCCACAACAAUGGUCAUAAAGGAAUCUUCAGGACGAUUAGUCCCCAGUCUUGGAAUUAUUAAUGUCCUACCUCUUACGAUAGAAGGCUCCAUGGUUCAUUUGAACUUUUAUAUCUUUGAUACAUGGGACUUCGACCUGUUGAUAGGACAACCUUUUAGAAGACUCCUUUAUGAAGGUCAUACUGGAAAGCUACACAUUUCUUUUGGAAAAGCCUUUAAAUUCCCAAUAACAAUUUCACACUCCUUAAAUAAUAAGGCCGAGUCAUAUCUUUUGCCUGAUCCUAUGGAGGAGGUAAAGGCUGCAUCUCUAGAGCUUUUAGAUGAACCAGACUUAGAAGACGAAACUCCUUUCUUCACUAAAGAAGAAACCGAACCUUCUGAACCUGAACCCUUAGAUGAGUUUGCAGAAACACCUAGACCCCCCCAUAGAGCUUAAAACUUUACCACCCGGUCUUACCUAUGCUUUCCUAAACAAUAAUCUAGAGUUUCCUGUGAUCAUUAGCGAUAAACUCACUCAGGAUCAAACUCUGCGAUUAAUGACCAUUCUUGAGAAACAUCACUCAGUUUUCGGCUACUCACUCCAAGAUCUUACAGGAAUCAGUCCUAUGAUUUGUACCCAUCGUAUUCCAACAAAUCCUUCUGUUUCACCUUCUCGAGAACCCCAACGUAGACUUAAUAACACUAUGAGAGAGGUAGUUAAAAAGGAAGUUAUAAAGUUGCUGCAUGCAAGGAUUAUAUAUCCUGUGCCGCAUAGUGAGUGGGUGAGCCCAGUACAAGUUGUGCCUAAAAAGGGAGGCAUGACUGUUAUUAUGAAUGAAAAGAACGAGCUAAUUCCGCAACGCACCGUCACACGAUGGCAGAUGUGCAUAGACUAUAGAAAACUAAACAAAGCCACAAGAAAGGAUCACUUUCCUUUACCUUUUAUAGAUGAGAUGCUAGAGCGAUUAGCGAAUCAUUCGUUCUUCUGUUUUUUAGAUGGAUAUUCAGGGUAUCACCAAAUCCCGAUCCAUCCUGAUGAUCAAAGCAAAACCACUUUUACAUGCCCAUAUGGAACUUAUGCUUAUCGUAGAAUGUCUUUUGGGUUAUGUAAUGCACCAGCUUUUUUUCAAAGAUGCAUGAUGUCUAUAUUUUCUGAUAUGAUUGAAGAGAUUAUGGAAGUUUUCAUGGAUGAUUUCUCUGUUUAUGGAAAAACUUUUGAUAGUUGUCUUGAAAACUUAGACAAGGUUUUGCAAAGAUGUGAAGAAAAGCACUUAGUCCUUAAUUGGGAAAAAUGUCAUUUUAUGGUUAGAGAAGGAAUAGUGCUGGGACACCUAGUGCCUGAAAGAGGUAUUGAGGUAGAUAAAGCUAAAAUUGACGUAAUUGAACAACUACCUCCACCUGUGAAUAUAAAAGGAAUUCGAAGCUUUCUUGGCCAUGCUGGUUUUUAUCGUAGAUUCAUAAAAGAUUUUUUAUUUAUUGCUAGACCACUUACUCUUUUGCUAGCCAAGGAUGCUCCUUUCGUAUUUGAUGAUGCAUGUCUAACAUCUUUCAAUUUAUUAAAGAAAGCACUCAUCUCUGCACCAAUCAUUCAACCCCUGAUUGGUCGUUGCCUUUUGAAAUUAUGUGUGAUGCUAGUGAUUAUGCUGUGGGGGCAGUUUUGGGACAAACUAAAGAUAAGAAGCAUCAUGCAAUUGCUUAUGCCAGUAAAACUUUGACAGGAGCUCAACUUAAUUAUGCAACCACCGAAAAAGAGCUUCUGGCUGUUGUCUUUGCCAUUGAUAAAUUUAGAUCUUAUUUAGUUGGAGCUAAAAUAAUUGUUUACACUGAUCAUGCUGCACUAAAAUAUUUGCUCACUAAAAAAGAUGCUAGACCUCACCUGAUUAGAUGGAUCUUAUUACUCCAAGAAUUUGACUUAGAAAUAAAAGAUAAAAAGGGAGUAGAAAAUUCUGUUGCUGAUCACUUGUCUAGAAUGUAUUUUAAGAGUCCACAGGAAACCCCCAUCAAUGAUUCACUCCGGGACAACAUGCUCUACGGGAUUAACAGGUCUGACCCCUGGUAUGCAGAUAUUGUUAAUUCUAUGGUUUCAGAGUAUGUACCACCAGGAGCAAACAAGAAGAAGCUUAUUCAAGAAAGUCGUUCACAUAUAUGGGAUGAGCCAUACCUCUUCCGAGUAUGCUCUGAUGGCUUACUCAGGAGAUGUGUGACCACUGAAGAAGGAUGGAAGAUCAUCGACAGAUGUCAUUCAUCACCAUAUGGAGGUCACUAUGGAGCAUUUCGUACACAUUCAAAGAUCUGGCAGUGUGGAUUCUACUGGCCUACAAUGUAUGAAGACACGAAGCAAUAUAUCAGAAGAUGUGGGCCAUGUCAAAGGCACGGAAACAUAAAUACAAGGGAUGCAAUGCCACUCACCACCAACCUUCAGAUUGAGCUCUUUGAUGUCUGGGGAAUAGACUAUACGGGUCCAUUUCCUCCAUCAAAGAAGUGUGAGUACAUCUUGGUGGCAGUUGACUAUGUCUCCAAGUGGGUAGAGGCAUUACCUUGCAAGCAUGCCGACAACAUCAGUUCAAAGAGGAUGUUUGAAGAAAUUAUAUUUCCAAGAUUUGGAGUCCCCAGAGUAGUGAUAAGUGAUGGAGGAGCACACUUCAUCAACAAAUGCUUCAAGCAAUAUCUAUCAAAACAUGGAAUCCGUCACAACGUCGCUACCCCCUAUCAUCCUCAGACAUGUGGCCAAGCAGAGACUUCCAACAAACAAAUCAAGAAUAUUCUUCAGAAGACAGUAAAUGAAAUGGGAACGGCAUGGAAAGACAAGUUACCCGAUGCACUCUGGGCAUACCGGACAGCAUACAAGACCCCAAUUGGAAUGUCACCAUACCAAUUGGUGUACGGGAAGACUUGCCAUCUACCUGUUGAACUAGAGUUCAAAGCACACUGGGCCAUAAAGAGAUGGAAUAUGGACCUAGAUGUUGCUGGAGAUUAUAGAAGAAUGCAACUAUCAGAAUUGGAAGAAUGGCGAGAGAAAGCAUAUCACAAUUCAAAGAUCUACAAAGAAAGAGUCAAAAGGUGGCAUGACAAGAGAAUCAAGAAGAAGGAGUUCACACCCGGAGAUAAGGUAUUACUUUUUAAUUCUAGGGUAAAGCUUUUCGGGCAUGGAAAACUCCGGAGCAAAUGGGAAGGACCAUUCAAGGUAAUUAAUUCAUCAUCCCACGGAGCCAUCACACUUCAAAAUGACGAAGGUACGUUAUUCAAGGUAAAUGGCCAACGUCUUAAAUUAUUUUUAGAGCCAAUAAAGAAUUAUAAGAAAUAGACAUAGUCUAUUUUUACCUUCCCAUGGAGAAUUAGAGCCCGACCUUUUUAGUCUGAUGUUUUCGGGUCAUAUAUAUAUUUUUCUAAAUAGUUUUGCAUCCAGUAACGCGCUCGAGAAAGUGGGCCCAUAGAGGGGCCAGAGAGAGGGCGGGCGCCCAGCUCAGGUGGGCGGGCGCCCAGCUCCUGUUCCCCCUCGGUCCCGAUUUUCUCUGUUAUGGAAAAUGCACUUAUGGUAAUCCGAAUAAUCCCUCAGAUGGAAAGUUUCGCACGCACAUCGACGGGAGCAACCCAAACAACCCAUAGAGGCACUUUUUGACCCCUAUAUAAACAGACCCCUGACCUCAGUUUUCAAACGCCAAGCCAUCAAGUCUUCUCUUCUUCUUCAAUUAGAGCUUGAUUAGUUCCUUACUGCUCCAAUGGCCGAGAAGUACCACGAUGAUUGGGAAGUCGUCCCCUUCAACCUCAACAUGGAGCCUGUGGAAGACCCCGAUGCCCGUGCUCUCGUCCCGGCCAACACAGAGCGACAGCUAGAAGCCAUGCCAUUACGCCAGCGCAGCUCUGCCUAAUCCUACCAUGCUCAACCAGUUCUCACCGCACCGCCACAACCCCUACUCCUCACGGGAUCAUCAUCCAAGACGAAGACCACCAUCAAGGUGCCAACCGGCACAAGGAUCCUUCCACCUAGACCCAAUGAGAGAGUCGUUGGAGUCAAGACCAACCGGAGCGGCGAGAUCAGCAGCGUACGCUACACUAUGGAGGAGGAAAGGCCUUACUUCGAAGGGAUUAGAGCAGCCAAAGUCCGUUUCAUCCCUCCAAAGGCAGCCCCGAAGCACGCUCUCAAUGCUUUUGAGACACCUCCUAAGCGUCGCAAGACUAUAGUCGAUAUUGAUGAGGACGUUCGUAGAAUAGACAGAAUUAUCAUAGACCUCCAGUCCUCGAUUAACUCCCUCACUAGGCAGCUCUCUAACCACAACACCAUCAUACUAGGCCUCAGGCAGGAUCUUGCUAGUGCCAACAAGAAGAUUAAGGAAUUAUAGCGCCGCUAAGUUAUCUAGAUUAGACCUUGAGACAAUGCAUCUUAGUUAUCUAUCUUUAAAUUCGGUUUAGGUUUACUAUUAUCAUCAGUUUGCUACUAGUUAUUUGUAAUAAAUGCCUCAAGAUUAAUAAAGAGUAUUAUUAUUAUUAUUAUUAUGUCUUGUGUGUCUCUACUUUAUUUUUGUGCAAGAAAGCAGAAAACAAGUAUGGGGGAGAUCCCUCAACAUGCCAAACACACUCCGACUACACCACUCCACGAUUCAGGUACACACUCUGCACACUUUACUUUACACCUACACAUAUCUUAGAUUAUGCAGAAUACUGUUUCCGACAAGAUAAAUUAAAAAGAUUAAAACAUUUCUAAUCAUGAUUAAUCUCACUCUGUUAUAUUUCCUGAAACUUGCAAUUAUUAUAAAAUCAUUUUAAAACCAUGUGUUACUUAAGAUAGUAUGGAAUGUGAGAUGGUAGAGUACGAGUUUCUUAUUCUUGAUAUCAUUGUUACUUGGAGAAUUUAUUUCAAAAUCUUCAAAAUUCUAGCUACCAUCCUCAGUGUUUUAUAUGCCUGAUAAAACUGAAAAUAUUAAUUAUGAUUAUAAAAGCUAUCUACUCUGUAUUGAGUUUGUUCAAAAUGAGUUAGACCCUUGUUGAGAGAUUAAUCAUGCUCCUAAGAUCAAGACAUUUAUUCAGAAAGAUUCACUCUUCCGAAGUAUUAUUGCAUUAGAGGCAUGGGCUAUGCAAAAAUAAAGAUAUUUUGAGGAAAUAAAAAGGAGCAAGUGCUCGACAACCUCGUAGAAAAAAUGGACAAGUGUCCAGCAGUAGAAUUAGGGAUACCUCGGUAUCCACUGAAAAAAAGAGAAGAAAAAGAGAAAAUGAUAGCCCAUGGUCCCUCUAAUAAGCAAUAUACCAGCAAGAGUUGACAAAGAUUUUAAUUUCCAAAGUCUUUGAUCUAAGAGUAUGACAUUCCCCUCCUCGAAUCCCGUUUUGAUCAGGCAAUAAAUGCAAAGUAAGUAUGCUUAAGAAUUUUUGCAAAUUAAAACAGCCUCAGUGAGAUAUAUAGAAGGUAAUGAGUGAUCUGAGAGAACCUAUGAGGAUAAAAGGUAUGCAAACUUUCUUUCAAAAAUAUACAAAAACUCCAAGUGACAGGAUUGAGAAGAAAGGAUCUUUAAUCUUAACCAUAUACUUCCCUGACUAUAGUACACAGUGGAUUUUUACACCCUACAGUUAUGAAGAGAAUGUCUUUAAAAUGUUUUACCCCAGAUAUUGUUCUUAACCAUCCUUUUCUCGAGGACGAGUAAAAGCCUAAGUAUGGGGGUAUUUGUUGACGGUUCUUAAGUACCAAUUUUAAUUAUCAAAUAAACAAGAGAAUGGACCAUUAUGCAAACAACACCUAGAAUUAGGGUUUGAUCUGACAGAAUUCCAUGAGUUUUGUUGUUUAUCUGUUUCUGCAGGGGGUUAUCAGGAAAUAAGGAAGAAAGGCCCACAUGUCGGGAUUACAUAGAGAUAUCAACGCACCGCGUGAUUUUCUACCAUCUAGAAGACUCCAGAAGCCACGGGAAGAAAGCAGAGGCCGAAAGGGGCCAGGCCCAGGGCGCCCGCCCUGGUGACCUGGGCGCCCACCCCCUGCUGGAAGCCAUUCAGGACUCUCUUCGCACAUGAUGUUCCACCGACCUAUUGGAUCCAGAAUAACGUAGUACUACCUCGCCUACCGACCCAAAAACGCAUAGAGGAGGAGGACUAUAUAAGGAGACCCCCUGGCCCCUCGAGAAGACAUGAAGAAGUUAUCAUAGAGAUUGAGGGGUGCCCUCGAAGGAAAACCUCUUCUCUAAUUAAUAUUUCUUUUUAGGCUUAGCAACCAAUGUAAAGUAGAAAUAGAUCUUCUAGUUUCUACUAGAUUGAGAGAGAUAGAGUGGAGGUGUAGAUUGGAGGAAGACCGGCCUGUCGGUGUCUACUCCAAGCUUGUACCUGCGGGAUCAAGUUCUCCUAACCCGAAGCUUACUCCUAGGAUUCUUCAGUAUUUCGACUUCUAAAUUCUAGUAAGUUCUUGUUUUAUUGUUCUUCUGGUUUAUGAGUUUACUUUAAUCUCUUCGUGUAGAGUUUAGAGUAAUCAUUGCUGGCGUAAACGUGGUGUUUAGGCUGGGGUACUCAUAGAUAUUCCCUGACUAGCUAGACCGUGGUAGUAGCGAGGAACGUGACAAUUCCGAGUUACCUUUGCAGACCAUAUCUCGUUAGCAGGAAGGAUAGGGUUUAUAGGUGUGGGUUGAACAUCCUUUGUGGUGUCUAGAUUCCGUUAGCCUCCCCAAUAGAACAGUAGAUCAUCCUUACCAAGGUUAGAAGGAGACUACGGUUGCAGUCUUCUCUAUUUAUCACUCACAUCAAAAGACAUUCUUUGUGCCUAAAGGGUUAGUAGUAAUAGACCAGUUAGUCAGAUGCACUCUUUCUCCCAGUGGUAAAAAAAUAAAUACGAUACUCUGGAUAACCUCCCGGGUGAAGUGCUCACCGAUAUCCGUGCGCUUGCGAAUCAAUUCCUUAUUGCGUUCCCAAAUAUCAACAUGGUACACUCCAUUUUUGGAGGGAAAGUCUCCAUCGAGUCAAAACAAGAAAGAAAACUCUUGAAGAGGGCUUGCCUCAAUGUGGACUGCGCCGAUGGUUUGAUCGCCGACCCUAAAUUCCCCCUAGUUGCACCGAGAGAUUUCCUUCAGCAGACAGGACCAGUGGGCUGCCAUCCCUGAACCAGGGCGCUUCCCGUUAAUCCUAGACCCGUGCAUCAACAGCGUCAGGUUUGAGCGCGUGCUCGUCGACGGGGGUAGCUCCAUCGACAUCCUGUUUCGCAACAGCCUGCCUGCUCUCAAGCUAACUCCGGCGCAGCUGAAACCAUAUGACGCUCAGUUCUGGGGCGUCCUGCCAGGUCAAAGCUCAGUACCCCUUGGCCAGAUAACGCUGCCCGUCCAAUUUGGGACACCAGACCACUUCCGCAUAGAGUUCGUCAACUUCGUGGUCACCGACUUUGACGGGACCUACCAUGCAAUUCUAGGCCAUCCUUCGCUCACCAAGUUUAUCGCAGUUCUGCACUACUCAUACCUGGUCCUCAAGAUGCCAACCGAGAAGGGCGUUUUAACCGUCAGAGGCAACGUCUACAUGGCAUACACCUACGAAGAGGAAAGCUUCAAGAUCACCGAGGCAAUCGACCUCUCGAUUCGCAUGGCAGAAACGGUAGCACAAGCAACACAAAUAUCAGCCGACCAGCUCAAACUACCCGAGCAGGAGACUUCAAGAAAAAACACCAAGUCCAAGGAGCACAAGGAAGUCCAACUGGUCGACGGCAGCCCAGAGAAGAUGGCUCUCAUCGGGGCCAAUCUGGACGCCAAAUAGGAAGACACGCUCGUCAGGUUUCUAAGGGACAACGUAAGCGUUUUCGCAUGGAAACCUGCGGACAUGCCCGACGUCCCACGAAGCCUGAUCGAGCACUCCUUAAACAUCUCGAAGACCGCAAGACCUAUCAAGCAAAAGCUACGACAGUUCGCUUGUGACAAAAAGGAGGCUAUUAGGACAGAGAUUACACAACUUUUAGUAGCCGGGUUUAUUAAAGAAGUGUAUCACCCCGAUUGGCUCGCCAAUCCGGUCCUUGUAAGAAAAAAGAAUAAUGAAUGAAGAAUGUGCGUUGAUUACAUCGAUCUCAACAAACACUGUCCUAAAGAUCCUUUUGGUCUUCCCCGCAUAGACGAAGUGGUCGACUCAACGGCCGGAUGCGAACUACUUUCUUUUCUCGAUUGUUACUCUGGUUACCACCAGAUCUCGUUAAAAGAGGAUGAUCAGAUUAAAACCUCCUUCAUCACUCCUUUCGGUGCAUAUUGCUACACCACCAUGUCCUUUGGACUAAAAAACGCUGGAGCCACCUAUCAACGUGCCAUUCAACAAUGCCUCCACGACGAGAUACGCAACGACCUCGUCGAGGCUUACAUCGACGAUGUUGUCGUUAAGACCAGGGACGCUAGCACUCUAAUCGACAACCUAGAACGCACAUUUAAAGUGCUAAACAAGUACAAGUGGAAGCUUAACCCCAAAAAAUGCAUCUUCGGGGUCCCCUCCGGCAUACUGCUCGGCAACGUCGUCAGCCGCGACGGCAUACGACCAAACCCUUCAAAAGUCAAGGCGGUACUCGAUAUGCGACCACCCAGAAACAUCAAAGAUGUUCAAAAGCUCACACGAUGCAUGGCUGCUCUAAGCCAGUUUAUUUCUAGGCUGGGAGAAAAAGGGCUUCCUUUCUUUAUGCUGCUAAAGGCAUCCGAGAGAUCCUCCUGGACAGAAGAGGCCAAUAUCACAUUCGCCCAGCUCAAAACUUUCAUCACCUCACCACCCGUCCUCACUGCGCCUCAACCUAACGAGGACCUGCUCCUCUAUAUAGCAGCAACUGAUCGGGUUGUCUCUACGGUGCUCGUAGUAGAGCGGGAUGAGCCAGGCCAUGUCUACAAAUUUCAGAGACCAGUAUACUUCAUAAGCGAAGUCCUAAACGAAUCCAAGACCAGGUAUCCCCAGAUACAAAAAUUAAUCUAAGCCAUCUUAAUCACCUUAAGGAAGCUGAAGCACUACUUCGAUGGCCAUCACGUUUUAGUUACUACGAGUUUUCCGUUGGGGGACAUCUUGCGCAACAAGAACGCCAACAGUAUAAUUGUAAAGUGGGCCAUGGAAUUAUGCCCAUUGUAACACCCUAAAUUUUGCUUCUUUGAAAAUAGAGAUAAAAUAAUUUAUUUUGUAUUUUUGUGCUCAUAAAAAUAUAGUAAAAUGAAAUUUUUCCUUAAAUUAAUAUUCAUCAUAGGGUUUAGCAACGUUGUUGUGCAUACAUGCCGGUACAUAUGUUUUAUGUGAUGUUUGUUUGUUGCUCCUUUGUGUGUUGAGACUAAGCAAAGUUUUUAAAAUUGCGUUAAGUAGAACGAUCUUCCUUGGUCAGUACAUCUUUACCUUUAUCUACAACCAAAUCCCUUGUUUCUAAGCUCAAGUUUUUAUUACGAGCUUCCUAAAAUCUUUUCUUUAUCACCUAAAUUCCUUCUUUUAGUUUCUCAUUCAUCAAGCAGUCUCUACAACGUGAUCGCCCUCAGUCCGGUGUCGAUCCGUCCGUCGCCCUGCUUUCCAUCUCCGCUUCGUACUUAUCUGCGAAAUCUCUAUUGGUGAGUUUGUUUUCCCCGCAUCAAAUCGUGGCCGUAGGCUUAAGUUUCAUGCUCGCCGGCUAGGAGCUCGUUGCUGCCAAUGGCUGGCUUCCAGGCGUGUGCUCUGCUCCAAUUAGUUUACCUUGGUUUCUAAAUCAAAAUACGUUUUCAGUAAUUACAAAAUUGCCACCAGAUUUGUUUAGCUCAUAAAAUCUUCAUUUUAACUCCGAUUUGAUCCAUUCAAAUUGCGUUAGUUUCGUAAUCACAAGAUCUACAUGUUAGUCUCACUGUUUUACAAGUUUACAACUUUUUAUUUUCGUGAACCUAUUUAAUUAAUUAUUUUAUUAAAGGAAAUCUUAGAAAAUUCAUAUCUUUUUUGUUAUAUCUCCGAUUUUCGUGAUCUUUAUGUCUGUGUGAUCGUAGUGCAACGUAGAUUCAUUUUAUAAACUUUUCAUCUUUAUUUUCUACUGUUGGUGUAUUGUUCUAAUUAUAGGUUUGUUUGCUUUGUAUGAUUGCCUCUAGAUGAUUGUUGUUGAUGUUUUGACUGAGUUUAGACGGUGAGCUUUUACGUGGUGAUCAAGAAGCAGUUUAUGGAAGGUUUGGAACUAAAAGAAGGAUCUGAGUUUUAAGGCAAGUAUAGCAUGGGAUCAACCUUGUUUUCUAAUAACUUUAACCACACAAUUCAUAUUGCAUGUGUCUCUUUGCUAAGAAUUUCCUAGUAUUGAUCUUAUAACUUGUCACCUAUGGUUUUGCAUUGGGUAGCUUGCGCUAGUGCUCUACUAAACCAUGACAUUGUAAUUUGAUUAAUGGAAUAUGCAAUAAACAUUAAAAGAGGACUUUUUAGCAACUUUGGUAAAGAGGGCUGGAGCAUUGGGCUAUCUUAUGGUGCUCUAGUUUCUCUCCAUAAGGACUUAUCUGUAUCUGACCAUCCGGGACAUACAGUACAACUGUGAGGGCUACAUGGCUCUGGCUUUAGCUCAGUAUGAGGACCUUUUCUAGCUUGUUAGUGGUUACCCAUGUGGCGCAAAUGGGGAAUAGCAGACCAUGGAUUCCUGCGGGUGAAUCACAUGGACUGACUAAUGAAACCAAGCGGCCCUAACUUGUUAGACGAACCUUUGAAAGGCUUCAUAGUGAACCGUGUCGGCCUCCCUAGGAAGGGGGUUAAGAGAUUAGCUACCUCGGGCGAAAGGGUAAAUCACGACUCACAGUGAAAGUGUACAACCUCUGCAGAGUGUAAAACUGAUAUAUCAGCCGUGCUCACGGUCACGAGCGGCCUUCGACCAAUACAGAAUAAAUGAUCACUAAUGGCAAAUUAUUAAAGUUAUUGUUGUUAAUAUGUUGUUUAUGCUAUUCUUUAUUCAUUUUACCUGAUCAUGAGUUUACUAUGGGACUUGACAACUUGAUGCUACUCAUAUGCUAAAAUUGUGACAACUAAAAGCUACAUGCAGUUCAACCAGUGUCUAGCCUUUGAGCCUCAUGAACCCUAUGCUAUUCUUGCUGAGUACGAGAUGUACUUACGCUUGCCUUUACAUUUUAUUUGGAUAAAAAUCCUGGAUGGGUACCAGAUUGCUAGUUUGGAGAAGAGUUUAGGCUUGUGCUCAACCAGUCAGUUGUCCCUGUAGAUUUGGAGCUUUCGCCUGAAGAACGGAGUGUCUUUCCGCUGUUUGCUAUCUAAGGUUAUAUCUUUUAUACUAAGUUCGUUAUAUAUAAGCAUUGUUUAUUGAUAUUACCCCUAUUUGUGGCUAUAUGUGAGAUUUGACUUCCUGGGCUCACAUAUGGUGUGUAUCUGGUUUUGUCCUUAAAACCGGGUGCUACAAAGUGGUAUCAGAGCAAUGCUGGCUGUAGGACGCAAGCCUAGUUAGAAAUUGGCCAUCUUAAGGAUUUGAAAUUGCUAUAAGAUCCUUGCUCUAUAAACCUUGAUAUUUUCCUCUACACUAUAUCAUUUCCCUUGCUAUUCAUCUCCACCUUGUUGCUGGUUUUAAAGUCUUGUUCUCACCCUCACUCCUUGCUUUGAUAUGCUAUUAGGACUUUGUCUCACCACUUUCUUAUGUCAUUAAAUGAGAAGCUUUAGGAUCUUUACCCUUACUAUGAAGAUAACGAUAGUAUCGCAAGUUGAGUGAGUGUGAACCUUCAAUGCUCAGUUGGUUUGUUAUUAUGCCUAUGCAUGCUUUGGAUCUUUGUAAUGAUUAUAAUGAUUUUGUGGAUUAUUCCAUGAUUUCAUUUAACCUAUAGGUCUAAGGCAUAAGGAUUAAUGAAAUAAAUAGCUUGGGUUUUGGUUAUCUUCAGUUCUCUAUAUCCUAUCACUUCGGAGCAAUCUAUCCUCACCUCUGCUCGUGGGCAAUCAAAAACCACAAGAAAAUUCUGGACAAUGGUAGAUUUCAGUAUCUUUGUCUGACCUCAAGAAUCACCCCUAUAGCUAUUCUGGAACUGGAGUUACGCAAAUCACAAGAUGAUACAGAUGUGCUGUCAAGAACCUGGACCAGUCUCGGUUGCCUACUGUUUUAGAUAAAUUUAACUAUAGAAUUUGGAAAAAAAGUUCUAUAUCAAAGUUAUAGACAAUUUGAUAAGCUUUCCAACAGUGUAAACCCCAACUUUAUCGGAUUAAUGGAACAUGAGUUAUGACAUUUAGAAUUUGAUGCUUCUGCAUUGUUUCAAAGUCUGGACAGUUCUAGUUAGUUCCUAUUUGUCAGCCAAAUCAACUUCAGAAUCUAGGAAAGUGUUAUAUACAGAAGUUGUGGAGGACUCCCUAAUCUUUUCAACCAUGUAAGGCUCGUCCCCAUAUGAUUUUUGUAGCUCGAGAUAUGGCUGCUGCAAGUUACCACAACUGCGCUGACAAACUGUCUGGACAGAUAUCAUGCUUGGCUAUUUUACCCAAACUUAAUUUCAGAACCUGAGAAAGUAUUCUAUACGAAAGUCAUAGAGGAUUUUGUCAGAUUUCCCAUGGUGUAGGCCAGAAGUAUAUCAGAUUGAUGGAGUAUGAGUUACAACUGUUUUACUAAGCUGCGGAUUUUCAUCUCGUGUGGAAUUUUAGAUUUCUUGUACUUGUCAGUGCACAUGAGUUAGAAGAUCUCAUGAUAAGUGUUGAUGCAAAACUGAUCUGCAAACACAAAGGGCUAAUACCCGAUUCAAACGUUAAGGCGUGCCAGCCGAUUUGACCUUACUAUCGGCAAAGGUGAUAACUCGAAUACUUUAGUCCUGACAACAGCGAUGCGCCCGGAUGUCACGGCUAAGAGGUACUCACGCGGAACUCGAGAACACACCGAGCUUAAGUCGACGAAUUCCUAAGAACUCGUAAUAAAAAGAAAAAAAAGUAUGACGAAGUCGUCGAAAAGUAGAUGCUGGAAUAUGAGUAAAAACGUGUGUUUGAUUGAUUUCUUGAUUUGAUUACAAGGCCCUAGGGUCUAUAUUUAUACCCUGCUCAAAGAGCUACAACCAGACACGAUUAGAAUUCGAAUUCCAAAUUAUACGGAAUCCGUAUACAAAACGAUGCAAAUAAUUAAGGAAAUAACAAAACUAUCCCUCGUGACAAACCAAAACUCCUCCACAUAACGACCGGCAGCUUCCAGACUCCUCCUUUGCAUCAUCGGCAGAUCCUUUGCCAUAGUCAUCGGCAGACUUUCUUAUCUAGCCAUCGGCACCAUAUUACUGCCUGUCACAUUCAACUUCUCCCUCAUCGGCAACCAUCCUCAUCGGCAACCCGCAUCGUACUGCCACCUUAUCCUGCCAUCCUAGACACGUGUCCAAAAACGGUGUCAACACAUGCCCCCCAGUUUCGGAGUAUAAAACUAUUAAUGCUCCGAAAUUCUCUGCAGUAAUGAUGCCUUCUCCCGCAAUUAAUGCUCCUAAUCUGGUAACCGACAACCUCAAUCUGGACAACUCUGAUCCUAAUCCUCCGCAGAUUCCUCGAAAUCCCCAACUUCCUAAACGGGCAUUUUUCUUGGUCGUACAUCGGCAACAAUACCGUUACAAAGAUCUGCCGAUGCUCUGACAAGGAUAUUCGCAAAAACGGUUACCUCCCCUCUAUCCGCCCAUCGGCAAGAUGACCGUUAUAGAAUAUCGCCGAUGGACCGACCAGGAGAUCUCGCACAGUAAAAUAUCUUCAGAUAAUGACCGCUUCCCGUCAAAUCACCUGCACAAUCCCUGGAUUACUGUGCGAACAGUUACCAUAUCCACCUGAGUACCCUCGGGUUUCUCGGAUGCGGCAAAGAGAUAAGUCGGAUUUGCCCUUGCCCAUCUUGUCCUAUAAAUAGUUCCUUCUUGGGUACUCCUUCCCCAUCACACCAUUCUACUACCCAACUUUACUUUUCCAGCGGCGGCGCCAUUUACAACCUUCAAGACCUCCGACAAGCACUCCUCUUCAUCAACUCCGGUGCCCUCCAACGUCCUCUUCACGACAAGAUGGCCAUUGGCUUCGUCGUCCCUGAGGUCAGAUCUCCAUCUCAUCUUCUGUAUUUUUUUAUUCCUAUUCAUCCGCGAUUCAUCUUACUGAAUAUUCUCCUUUUCCUUUUUCUUUGUAUUUUUAUUCCCCCAAAAUCACUAGGAGUUGUCCAAUAAAAUUGUCAUCCCCACCGAUCAACCACACCUUCAAUGUCUCGGCCCUCUAGGGGAUUCAGAUCCAACCAACCUUAUCAACGCAGAAACCAAUAGGAUCCCCUUCAGAGCUGAAAACUUUUCUUUAGAUCUGUGGAAAGACUCUUUUCGCUCUUGGCCCAGCCCUACUGUAGGGUGGAAAGACUGGUUCUUGAGGGUCAGCAAUUCUUAUGAAGUCCAGUGGGGCGAAAGGAAGCUAGCCCAAUGCAUUAGGCUAUCCAUUGCCGAUAUGCACAGGAACGAGUCACUGCUGAUAGCUGCGUCCUACUUUUGGUCAGACACCCUCAAUGCUUUUGUUUUUGGCCACGGCCCUGCUUCUCCUACCCUUGCCGAUGUAGCCAUGCUCACUGGUCUAGAUAUAUCUUCUGCCGAUAGCACCCACUUUUUUGAUACUGCCCCCAGUGCCAAAGUGGAGACUCGCGCUAUCGGCGGUUGGUCAGGGUACAUUCAGAAGUACCGCGGGAGAGGGCCUGUCACCAUAAAGGAGCAAACCACCUUUCUGAACAUGUGGCUGGACAAGUUUGUAUUCUGUGGUCGAUCGGCAGGACCGACUUCUGUCUAUCUAUCGGCAGCAGAGAGACUGGCUAACGGUGGCCAAUUUCCUCUCGGCCGAUACUUGCUUGGCGCUGUUUACCACCUUCUCCAUCAGGUAUCCCAGAAACUCCUGCUUGGCCAAUCCAUCGGCAACUUGGGAGGCCCCUGGUGGUUUAUCAAUAUGUGGCUCAAUCUGCACCUGCAUAAGCGCCUUGAUUUCAACUUGUUCUCACAGCACUUCCCAAGAGAUAUAGCCGAAAAUCAUGUGUUGGGUGAAGAGGAAUCGGCAACGCGUGCCCCCUUGAACUUUGGCGAAGCCGUCAUAGUCCUACCUGGUUCAGGGAGUAAUCCGGAUCAGAUCGGCCGAUUCUUCGAGACUCUGUAUGAGGGUUUGGCCAGAGAUGAACGACCAUGGUUGGCUUAUGAUGACCCAGAUAGCAUGCUCCCUCUGACCUUCAAUCCAUUUGAUGAAGCUCUCGACAGGGAUAAUGAGGCGAUGAUGGCAAUUGUGACUCCCAGAGCCAUUCCAGUGAAUUUCUUCGGUAGCACAAAAACUUCUCCCCAGACUUAUGAAUUUUACAAUCCAUCGGCAUUAGCUCGCCAGUUAGCUUUCGGCCAGUUGCCAAUCGCACUUCCUUAUGCCGAUGUGAUAAAACCCAGAGAAACUAUCAAUAACUUUCUUGAGUGGAGUCGAGUAGCCCAACUACCACCAAACGCCGAUACAGAUGUAGAUCUAUCAGAAUGGGUUCCGGCUGCUUUUAUCACUCAGGCAUACAAGUUAUGGUGGGCAGAAUGGAAAGAGCAUCUAUUCUGCAGAUCGGCCCUUUCAUACCGCGGCAUGAUCGACUCCGAAUACGAAAUUCCCGAUGACACUGUAAGUAUCUCCAACCGAUGUUUCAUUUUUUCAACAUUAUUUCCAUCAGUAGCUUAUCCUUGUAUUCUUUUUGCAGGUUGAUAACAUCCCCUCAUCGGUUAGCAGGAGUGGCAAGCCGAUCGACUUAUUUCCAUCAGGCCCGAUUUCCUCAAUCGGCCACAAUGCUCCCACUCUGGCUUCCAUCGUGCAUCGGGGUGCACGCUUCAGGAAAGUUACGACCAGGAGAACCCAGACAUCACCAACGGUAGCUGCUCCCACUCUGGCGCGGGCUUUCAAGGCAAUUUGUCAAAUCUUUAUCUUUUAUGCUGACUAUCUUUAUAUCGGCUAUAUUUAUGCUUAUAAACUCUUGUUCAUUAUUGCAGCAAACCGGCGCAUCGGCGAAAGCUAGGUGUGAGAGUACCGAUGCCCCCCAGUCUAGCCAACCCAAGAGAAAGGGCACCACGGGUGCUAAGACUGGAACAAAGCGCCAGAAGAUAGCAACUCCCCCUCUUCCUCCGGUAUCUCCAAUUCCGGUGGAGUCUUCUCCUUCCUCUCCAGAAGCCCAGCCACAGCAAGCACCGUCUCCCCCAGCUAUGCAGGAAGCACCACAGAUAGAAGAACCCCAACAGGAAGGGUCUCAAUCAGCUGACACGGGUGAACAAACAACUGGCCCAGUGGGUCCAGUUAUACCAUCGGCAGUUCUCCCGAUUCAGACAACCGUCGUCCCUCCUCCAGGUAACAUACUUUAAUAAUAUCGCUACCGAUGAACUUAUUCUUAUUUAGUCUCACAACUCCUUUUGUCUUCUUUCAGUUGAUACUGUUCCAUCGGCAAUCUCAGCCGAUCAACCUGUAGCUCCAUCGGCAUCUUUGGCCGAUCAGCCUGCAGCUCCGUCAGCCCUUCUCAGUCAAAGACAAGAGAUCGCCUUGAAGCAAGUGAGUCACCGUUUACCGUUAGCACUAUUUGCCGAUUCUCUAAGUAUGAGCUAAUUUUGCUUUCCGUCCCAGGAACAAGAUUCUCCCGAUAGCCUGUUCUCCUUCGCCAUCGAUUUCUCUGAAGAAGAGGGUGAAGAAGCAAGCACUUCUCGGACGGUUGGCAUCACAUCGGCAGAUGUCAGGGUCAGGCUGGAAGAAUUAUCAGCUCUCCUUCACCAGGACACAGCGCAAUUGGUUGAUGAUUCCGACCCUACCAAGACCCUGUUCAGAACUCUCAGAGGCCAAAUCCCAGCCGAUGUCGAAGAAAUCCUGUUCCAAGCCGCUCAUCUGGAGAGUCGCCAGCUGCAGUACCAAAGAGCUUCUCGGCGGCUUGCCGAUAGAGCCGCUCAAACUCAACUCUCCGAUGAGAUGAGGAAAGAGAAGCUUUUGACCGAUGAGAAGCACAAGAACAUCGGUAUCCUGAGAUCUUCUGGAGACGCGCUGAAGCAGAAGAUAUCCGAUCUAUCGGCAAGAAAAGAGUCCCUGUUGGCAGAGCUCAAGGAAGUAGAGAACGCUCUGUCCCAAGCCCAACAGGAAGAGAGCCAAUUGCCAGAGACCAUCAGGCUUCUUGAGCGCGAACGAAAUGCUCAUGGUCGCAAAGCGCUCCAACUGAAGAAGAAGCUGAAGCCGAUAGAAGGUUCUGCCGAUGAUGACAUCAAGGAGAUAGAAGCAGCCAACCAAAUUCGGCUACGUGCUAUAUCGGCUAUCCAGACGCUGCUUAACACAUAGAGUUUCCAUCGGCAUUGUAUCUGCGCUUUCCUGCUUCCUCAGCUUUUAGUCUAGCCGAUAGGACUGUUAUCGGCGCCUAAACUUUUGAAACGCCAAGUCUUGUCCCCAAUCAUUUGGAUCCAGCCGAUAGGAGUGUUAUCGGCACCUAAACUUUUAUGCAUCGACCCAUAUACUGGGGUAAUACUUCUUUAAAUAUUUGCCGUUUAAUGCUCUGGGAAAUUCAAUUCCUUCGAGGGUUUCUAGAAUGUAGGCAUUACCGGGAGCCGAUCGACUUAUCCGAUAAGGACCCUCCCAAUUAGGAGACCACUUCCCAAACUUCGAGCUUUUGGUCCCAACUGGUAAAAUUAAUUUCCAUACCAAAUCUCCAUCGGCAAACUCUUUAGCCUUCACUUUCUUAUCAUACCAUCUAGCAACUCUUUUCUUAUUUUCUUCUAUACUCGUUAAAGCUUUUAACCGAUGCCCUGCUAGAUCAUCCAAUUCAUCGGUCAUCAAAGUGGCAUAAUUGUCGAAAGUUAAUUGAUCUUGAAAAGAUAAUCGCCUAGAUCCAGCCUUAAUUUCCCAAGGCAACACUGCAUCAUGUCCAUACACCAAUUGAUAGGGUGAUACCUUGGUCGAUCCAUGACAAGCCAUCCGAUAAGACCACAAUGCUUCAUUUAAUAAUGUAUGCCACCGCUUAGGAUUUUCUUCAAUCUUUCGUUUAAUAAGCUUGAUAAUUCCUUUGUUAGACGCUUCGGCCUGCCCAUUGGCUUGAGCAUAAUAAGGAGAAGAAUUCAACACUUUAAUUCCCAUACCGAUUGCGAAUUCAUCGAACUCCCCCGACGUGAACAUGGUGCCCUGAUCGGUAGUAAUCGUUUGGGGAAUCCCAAAUCGGUAAAUAAUAUGCUCCUUCACAAAAUCAAUCAUAUUGGCCGAUGUGACUUUCUUCAAAGGAAUAGCUUCAACCCACUUAGUGAAAUAGUCAGUGGCAACUAGAAUGAACUUAUGCCCUUUGCUAGAUGGUGGAUAAAUCUGGCCGAUCAGAUCGAUGGCCCAUCCCCGGAACGGCCAAGGUUUUAUUAUAGGAUUCAUAGCCGAUGCGGGUGCUCUCUGGAUAUUACCAAACUUUUGACAACCUUGACAUCCCUUGAAAUAUUUAAAACAAUCUUCAAGUAUGGUUGGCCAAAAAUAUCCAUUCCUCCGAAUCAUCCACUUCAUCUUAAAAGCUGACUGAUGCGCUCCACAUACUCCUUCAUGGAUUUCCCCCAUCAAACUUCUGGCUUCAUCAUCACCCAAGCAUCGGAGAAGAAUUCCGUCGAUAGUUCGAUAAUACAAUUCAUUUUCAAGGAGCACAUACUUGGUUGCUUGAAAUCGAACCCGUCUUUCAACUUUUUUGGAUGGAUCUUUUAGAUAAUCAAUAAUUUCUUUCCUCCAAUCACCGGCACCGACUGCCGAUGUCGCAUUAAUCAUUGGCUGAUAUCCCGAGGCAUGCUGAGCUAACCGAUUAGCGUCUUCAUUAUGCAAUCGGGGAACAUGCUCCAAUCGGAAAUCCUUGAAUUCCUUUAACAGUUGCAUACUUCUCUCGAAAUAAGUUAUGAGAACUUCACUUCGGCAUUCAUAGCUUCCGGCCAAUUGAUUUAUAACCAACAUAGAAUCCCCGAAUAUUUCAACAGCAUCAGCACGAACUUCUCUUAACAACUCCAAUCCCUUGAUCAGAGCUUGAUACUCAGCCUGAUUAUUUGUUGAUGUGGCAACAAUCGGCAAGGAAAACUCAUACUUCCUCCCCUUAGGGGAAACCAAUACAAUGCCGAUUCCUGCCCCCCGGUCACAGGUAGAUCCAUCAAAGAAGAGCGUCCAGGGUACAAUUUCCAAGGUUUCCACCAGACCGCAAUGCUGAGUCACAAAAUCGGACAUAAUCUGCCCUUUGACCGCCUUAGCCGAUUCGUAACGCAAAUCGAACUCCGACAGCGCUAAAAUCCAUUUACCGAUCCUACCACUCAUAAUCGGCAUAGAUAGCAUGUAUCGGACCACGUCAUCUUUGCAAACAACAGUGCAUUCGGCCGAUAACAGGUAGUGUCUCAGCUUGAUACAUGAAAAAUAUAAGCAUAAGCAUAGUUUCUCAAUGGCCAAAUACCUGGUUUCAGCAUCAAUCAACCUCCUACUCAAAUAAUAAAUUACCCUUUCUUUCCCUUCAAAUUCUUGAACUAAAGCUGAACCGAUAACCGAUCCAUCGGUAGAUAAAUACAAUCUGAAGGGCUUCCCUUGUUGAGGUGGAACUAGAACUGGAGGAUUUACUAGAUACUUCUUGAUUUCAUCCAGAGCAAACUGCUGUUCUUCUCCCCAAAUAAACUCUUGAUCGGCUUUCAAUUUAAGAAGAGGACUGAAAGCACGAAUCCUACCAGACAAAUUCGAUAUAAAUCUCCUGAUAAAAUUUACCUUGCCGAUCAAGGAUUGGAGCUCGGUUUUGUUGGUAGGGGCCACUAUUUUAUUGAUGGCAUCAAUAGAUAUUCGACUAAUUUCAAUACCCCUCUGAUGUACCAUGAAACCAAGAAACUGCCCUGCCGAUACGCCAAAUGCGCACUUGUUGGGAUUCAUCUUCAAUCCAUGCUUCCUUGUGCACUCUAACACUUUUUGUAAAUCGGCAAGAUGCUUUGAGAAAUCUCCAGACUUAACCACCACAUCAUCAAUAUAAAUCUCUACAAGCUUGCCGAUGAACUCAUGAAAUAUAAAAUUCAUAGCCCUUUGGUAAGUAGCACCAGCAUUCUUCAACCCAAAAGUCAUGACUAUCCAUUCAAAUAGUCCAACAUGACCAGGACACCUGAAUGCGGUUUUUGGAAUAUCCUCCUCUGCCAUGAAUAUUUGAUUGUAACCUGCAUUACCAUCCAUGAAGCUGAUGACCCGAUGGCCAGCCGCAGCAUCAACCAGUAGAUCGGCGACAGGCAUUGGGUAUCCAUCCAUCGGCGUAGCUUUAUUGAGAUUCCUGAAAUCAAUGCACACCCGAAGCUUCCCGUUCUUCUUGUAAACCGGAACAACAUUGGAAAUCCAUUCGGCGUACCGACACUGCCGAAUAAACUUAGCUUCAAUAAGUUUAGUGAUUUCGGCCUUAAUAUCAGGUAGGAUGUUAGGAUUACAUCGGCGAGCUGGUUGCUGAUGUGGCCGAAAUCCAGACUUGAUGGGUAACCGAUGUUCAACAAUUGAUCGGUCUAAACCAGGCAUCUCUGUAUAAUCCCAAGCAAAGCAAUCUUUAUAUUCCUUUAACAAACUAGUCAAUUGUCGCUUACACUCAGGAUCUAAUUUAGCACUAAUAAAAGUAGGCCUAGGCUUAUCACCACUACCUAUAUCUACUUCAACCAAAUCAUCGGCCGAUGUGAAUCCCUGGCCUAAUUUUCCAUCAUCGGCGAAUCUAUCCAUUAAAAACCGUCGUCAGAACCGACUGCUUGGAUCGGUGGAAUCUCAUAAUCGGCAACUUUGAGAAAAUCUUUCUCCCAAACUUCUCCUGAAAUGCACCUGGUCCUUUCGUAAGUAUCCGCUUCUGCCGAUGCGAUAACAUAAGAAGAAUCUCCUGGGACAAUCUCAAUCUUGUCACCUACCCACUGAACCAAGCACUGAUGCAUUGUAGAUGGGAUACAACAAUUGGCAUGAAUCCAAUCUCUCCCCAAUAAUAAGUUGUAAGCACCUUUUCCACUGAUCACGAAAAAAGUUGUCGGCAAGGUUUUGCUGCCGAUGGUCAACUCUGCACAUACUGCCCCCUUGACUGGAGACACGUUUCCUUCAAAGUCUUUGAGCAUCAUAUCGGUCUUGGUCAAAUCUUGAUCCCCUUUCCCAAGCUUCCGAUAUACUGCAUACGGCAUAAUAUUAAUAGCAGCUCCACCAUCAACUAGGAUCUUGGUCAUUGGCUGCCCAUCAACCCUUCCUUUGAGGAACAGAGCUUUAAGAUGCUGCCUCUCGUCAUCGGCAGGUUUCUUAAAGAUAGCCGUCAUCGGAUCCAGAGCCAACUGAGCUAUCUGAUCAGAAAAUUCUAACUCAUCAUCACUGGCUGGUGCAAGAAACUCCACCGGCAACAUGAAGACCAUGUUGACGCCUGCCGAUGGACCUUCCCUCUUAGUGUCUGACGGCUGCCGACUUCCAGAGUUCUCUCCCUUGUUUAGCUCUUCUUGCCUUUCACGUUGCAAUCUCCUUUUCUGUGUCUUGGUUAAUCCUCCAGGGCACCAUGGAGGAAGUGGCCUUUGCCUUGCCGUCGGGCGUCGGUUCUCCCUUGACUCCAUACGAUGCGUGUUAGCAUCCCUGCAAAAUAUGAAUUCAUCGGGAACCCGCGCAUCAGCCAUUCCCUCGAGCUCUUCUUGGUUCCUGGGAAAAUACUGGACACGGUCACUAAGUCUGUUGUGCCCACCAAAUCUGCCCCCCAGCCGGUCAUGAACUGACACCCUUCCUCUGAUCGGCCCAUUGAAUCGCCGUUCAUCAUUAUGAUAAUGCCGAUCGAUCCUAUCGUACCGAUCAUAACCGUUGCACUCAGGGCAGUCUCUGAUAGUAGGAAGCUUGAUAUUUUCCUCCCAACAAUGGAUGAAGAAUGGACAAUUCCAAUGAUCCCUGUGCCGAUUCCACUCCUGUCGGCGUCUUUCUUCUUCCCGUCGAUAAUCUUCCUGCUGGCGUCGAUACCGAUCUUCCCGUUGUUGCCAUUUUUCUCGAGGCCUUCUAUGAGUUAUGACGAUACCAGAUCGAGGAAGCCUUCCUGAGCUAGUUCCUUCCUGGACCAAGCCCUUACUUCUUGCAUCAGCAGUAGUAACUUGAUGCUGAGGAUCUACCGAUGCACUCUUCUCAGCUGUCUCCGAUGUUAAGACCUUAGCCUUCCCCUUAGCAUCCAACAUGUUUGUCGGGAAAGGAUGUUGGUCUAUCUUCAUCGGCUUCUGGGCUUUGGAACUGUCAAACUUGAUUCUCCCUGACUCUAUAGCCGAUUGCAGCUGCUGUCUGAAUACUUUGCACUCGUUGGUGUCAUGGGAAGUUGCAUUAUGCCACUUGCAAUAUCUCAUCCUCUUCAACUCUUCUGCCGAUGGGAUCACAUGGUUAGGUGACAGUUUGAUCUGACCUUCCUGAAGUAGAAAGUCAAAUAUCCUAUCAGCCUUAGCGGUGUCAAAGGCAAACUUCUCUGGUUCCUUCUGCCCAAAAGGACAAGACAUCGGCUUCUUGUUUUUUACCCACUCUGCCAAACCGAUUACUGGUUCUUCAUCAGAAUCUGAGCUUGUUGCUUCAUCAACAAAUGACACUUUCUUAUUCCAUGCUCUCUUAGGCUCGAAAGGCUUGAUGUCUUGAUCAGAAAUCCUCUGCACCAAAUGACUUAAACUUUCGAACUCCUGAGAGGCAUACUUAUCCCUGAUAUGUGGCAACAAACCCUGGAAAGCCAAAUCGGCUAACUGCCGAUCAUCCAGAACCAGGCUAUAGCAUUUAUUCUUGACCUCUCGUAUCCUCUACACAAAUCCCUCAACCGACUCAUCAUUACGUUGCCUCAAUUUGACCAAGUCGGUGAUCUUCUUCUCAUGAACCCCCGAGAAGAAGUAUUUGUGGAAUUGCUUCUCUAGAUCGGCCCAAGUAAUUACUGAGUUGGGAGGUAAUGAUAUGAACCAAGUAAAGGCCGAUCCAGACAAUGAUGAUGAAAAUAGACGAACCCUCAAUUCGUCCCUGUUACCAGCCUCUCCACAUUGAAUAAUGAACCUGUUGACAUGCUCCAUGGUUGACGUGUCGUCCUGUCCGGAAAACUUUGUAAAAUCCGGUACCUUGUACCGAUGUGGAAGCGGGAUCAAAUCAUACGCGGGAGGAUACGGUGUCCGAUAAGAAUAAGUGUUGACUUUGGGUUUUAUCCCAAAUUGUUCCCUCAUUACUUCAGCAAUCUUAUCGGCCCAAUACGCAUCGGCAUCUUGCCGAUGAGGUGGCUGCGGAUCUGGCACUUGGUGGUGAACCUCCAUGUGUCUGUUCGGGACGUGAUCUGCACGGAACAUUGUAUUGAUCACCUGUCCUCCAAUCUGCGGACCACCAAACUGCUGUCCACCGAUUGGCUGUCCUCUGAGUUGUUGUCCAAAAUUCAUUGGCUGGUUGGGAAUCCCCUGACCUUGGAACCCGGGAUAGACCUGCCCUUGCUGGAACCCUGUAGUCUGGUAACUCUGCUGGGGCGAUUGUGGAAAGGCUUGCUGUCCAAGCCAUCCAUUAUUAGCGUUCAUCGGCAUAGGUGCUGCCGAUGAUUGGUAAUUGGGUACCGUCAUUGAAUUGACAUACCCAGACUGGGCCAUAGGCCUCUGCGGCACCAGCAUUGACUCUGCCGAUGCGUUGGGCAUCUGGAACAUUGAAUCUUGAGGAUUUCCAGUGUGAGGCCUUGCAGUAGUAGUUGUGGUAUACCGAGGACUCUGGUUCACCGGCGCAUUGGGAGGUGCCGAUGUCAUAGGAGUUUUGCCCCUCAUGUCAGUUAUUUGUGAUGUUCCCGGCGUCAACUCUGGAGGCAUACCAUAACCCCACCAGUUGGGAGGAAGAGUCAACCCUGACAUUGCCGAUGCCAACAUAUCUGUUGUCAGUCUAUGCUGCCCAACUGAAAUUUGUGGGUUGGUUGCCAUCGGCAUAGAUAGUGCACCAGUAGUCCCCAAUGUACUUGGAGGGACGGCAGACUGUGCACUUGCAUUCGUCAAGGCAGCCGAUGGAGCCGUGACCUCUGGUGCCGUUGGCUGAUGAUGGGAGGGGCCCACAUAAUCUGGUGGGAUUUGUCCUUCCUUGAAAGUUCUUGCCACGGCAUUGAAAACCGUAUUGGACAAUACACCAGCUUGGUUAAUCAACGCUCGAUUGAUGGCAUUGUCAACCAUAUCUUGAAGCUUGCCAGGAUUGGCGUCAAAGGUAACCUGCCGUGGUGCCGGCAGUGCAUCUUUCUGGACCACUUCACCACUCCUGUUUAUGCUGAAAGACCUCAGGCAUUGCUGCUUGAACUCUUCCAUGGCUUGGGCAAUAGCUUGCUUCUGCUCAUCCUUGAGGUUGGCCUCCGUCACGGGGAUGACAUUCUCUUGAUCGAGGUCAGAGAUCGACAUGUUGAUCUUGAUCUUGAAUCGGUCCCACCGAGCGUGCCAAAAGAUGUGUUGAUGCAAAACUGAUCUGCAAACACAAAGGGCUAAUACCCGAUUCAAACGUUAAGGCGUGCCAGCCGAUUUGACCUUACUAUCGGCAAAGGUGAUAACUCGAAUACUUUAGUCCUGACAACAGCGAUGCGCCCGGAUGUCACGGCUAAGAGGUACUCACGCGGAACUCGAGAACACGCCGAGCUUAAGUCGACGAAUUCCUAAGAACUCGUAAUAAAAAGAAAAAAAAGUAUGACGAAGUCGUCGAAAAGUAGAUGCUGGAAUAUGAGUAAAAACGUGUGUUUGAUUGAUUUCUUGAUUUGAUUACAAGGCCCUAGGGUCUAUAUUUAUACCCUGCUCAAAGAGCUACAACCAGACACGAUUAGAAUUCGAAUUCCAAAUUAUACGGAAUCCGUAUACAAAACGAUGCAAAUAAUUAAGGAAAUAACAAAACUAUCCCUCGUGACAAACCAAAACUCCUCCACAUAACGACCGGCAGCUUCCAGACUCCUCCUUUGCAUCAUCGGCAGAUCCUUUGCCAUAGUCAUCGGCAGACUUUCUUAUCUAGCCAUCGGCACCAUAUUACUGCCUGUCACAUUCAACUUCUCCCUCAUCGGCAACCAUCCUCAUCGGCAACCCGCAUCGUACUGCCACCUUAUCCUGCCAUCCUAGACACGUGUCCAAAAACGGUGUCAACAAUAAGAUAACUCACUUGGAAGAUAGACCAAGCUACCCAUUUGUGCCCCCUAGUUUACUCUUCUUAAGGGGGGUAGCCAAGCUAACGAAGUCACAAGAUGAAUGUUUCAUACGUUCUAGCACUUCACUUGGAAGUGUCGAUCAUUCCUAUGGCUGAGAAGUCACUAUCAAGUAUCCUUGCUAAGAAGUUCUUAACAUGUUGGUUCCAUCUACAAGGAUAUUGUAUAUUCAUCAAGAUUUAAUCUUAAUUCGAUCUAUCAUCAAAUGGGAGAGUCCAAUCUUUAGCAUACCAAAGGCGAGAUGACAUUGACGACAUAGGAAGUGGAUAUGGUACAGCUAUUGUUGAUUCUACGGAGACUCAAAAGACUUCAUUGUUAAACAAAGCAUGGCAAGUAAGUUUUGGUUGAUGGAAGUUCUCACCUAGGAGGCUAGGAGGUGUCAUCCUUAUGGUGAACACGAGAAAGUCAAGGCUGCAUUGGGUUUGGAACCCACCAAAAGGAAGUGAAUAAGACGUAGAGUUCCAUGGGAAUGACAAGAAGCUAUCAUAGGUUUAUUGGAGGCAUUGUAAUCUUGACAUAAGAGUGACUAAGAGAUUGAUUUGGAAUAAUAAGAUUAUAAGUGGUUUAUCAAAGGUGUUAUACAGAUCGAUGUAAGAGUUCUUAUAUAUCCCAUCAAGACUUUGGAUGUGCUCUAUACGAGAAAAGUAGUGGCUUAUGCAUAAGUUGACUAAGUGAGUUGGACCACCUAACACAUGAUGUGGAGGUAUCCAUAGUGGAGCAUGGAGAUACUAUCUUCUUGGAUAUAAGAGUGAUAUCUACGUAGAAUGUAAGAGACUAAAGGGCAUCUUUAGGAAGUUGGAUUUGAGCUAGUCACAUCAUUGAUGGAUUUGAGUGAAUCAAGAGUUAUGGCUGGAAAAAAAUGCUAUCACUUGAAGGAGAAAAGGCCUUUGCGAAUGCUCAGAGCAUAAAGAGUGUGCUAGAGGAGUUCAAAUGACACUGAAAUUUGAAGGGUUGAGUGUUGAACUGGGUGAUGUCACUAGUACUGUCAAAGGAGCUCUACUAAUUACUCAUUUGGGAACCAUAGGAACUGAAAAGAUUACUUAGAAGAUAUGUUGUGAGCUUGUGCAUUAUAGUAUCGUACAAGUUGGGAUAAGAGUUUACCGAAUGCGGAGUUUUCUUAGGACAAUAGAUUAUUAUAAGAGCCUUCGAAUGGUAUGUCUUUAAGCUUUGUAUGGACGGAAGUGUAGAACCCCAUUGUUUUGAAAUCAAAUAGGUAAAACACAAGUGUUUGGGCCAGAUGUUCUAAGAGAUGCAGAACAACAAGUGAGAGUGUUCAGGGAUAACUUAAGGGUGGCACAGUCUCAACAGAAGAGAUAUGCUAACAACCGGAGAAAAGAAUAAGCUUUUGAAGUAGAAGACUAUAUGUAUUUGAAGGUGUCACCUAUGAGAAGUGUGAGAAGAUUUAAUAUGAAGGAAUGGUUAGCACCAAGGUAUAUCGGGCCUUUCAAAGUGUUAGAAAGAUGGGGUGAAGUGGCUAAUUAGAGCAUCUGAAAGUUUGGGCGAGGAAUGCAUGAUGUUUUCCUUGUGUCUUAACUCAAGAAGUGUUUGCGUGUGCCAUAGGAGCAGAACCCAUUAGAGGAAUUGGCUGUUAAAGAGGAUCCCACAUACAAAGAGUACCUAGUAAGAAUUUUGGAAACAACAGAAAAGGUUACCAGAAGUUGCAUUAUCAGGAUGUGCAAAGUUCAGUGGAACCGGUACACCGUAGAGGAGGCUAUUUGGAAAAGAGAAGAAUAUUCAAUGUUAAGAGUAUCCACAUUUUUUUGGUAACCAUCUUCCGAAUCUCGAGGACGAGAUUCAUCUUAAGGGGCGUAGAAUUGUAACACCCUAAAUUUUGCUUCUUUGAAAAUAGAGAUAAAAUAAUUUAUUUUGUAUUUUUGUGCUCAUAAAAAUAUAGUAAAAUGAAAUUUUUCCUUAAAUUAAAAUUCAUCAUAGGGUUUAGCAACGUUGUUGUGCAUACAUGCCGGUACAUAUGUUUUAUGUGAUGUUUGUUUGUUGCUCCUUUGUGUGUUGAGACUAAGCAAAGUUUUUAAAAUUGCGUUAAGUAGAACGAUCUUCCUUGGUCAGUACAUCUUUACCUUUAUCUACAACCAAAUCCCUUGUUUCUAAGCUCAAGUUUUUAUUACGAGCUUUCUAAAAUCUUUUCUUUAUCACCUAAAUCCCUUCUUUUAGUUUCUCAUUCAUCAAGCAGUCUCUACAACGUGAUCGCCCUCAGUCCGGUGUCGAUCCGUCCGUCGCCCUGCUUUCCAUCUCCGCUUCGUACCUAUCUGCGAAAUCUCUAUUGGUGAGUUUGUUUUCCCCGCAUCAAAUCGUGGCCGUAGGCUUAAGUUUCAUGCUCGCCGGCUAGGAGCUCGCUGCUGCCAAUGGCUGGCUUCCAGGCGUGUGCUCUGCUCCAAUUAGUUUACCUUGGUUUCUAAAUCAAAAUACGUUUUUAGUAAUUACAAAAUUGCCACCAGAUUUGUUUAGCUCAUAAAAUCUUCAUUUUAACUCCGAUUUGAUCCAUUCAAAUUGCGUUAGAUUCGUAAUCACAAGAUCUACAUCUUAGUCUCACUGUUUUACAAGUUUACAACUUUUUAUUUUCGUGAACCUAUUUAAUUAAUUAUUUUAUUAAAGGAAAUCUUAGAAAAUUCAUAUCUUUUUUGUUAUAUCUCCGAUUUUCGUGAUCUUUAUGUCUAUGUGAUCGUAGUGCAACGUAGAUUCAUUUUAUAAAAUUUUCAUCUUUAUUUUCUACUGUUGGUGUAUUGUUCUAAUUAUAGGUUUGUUUGCUUUGUAUGAUUGCCUCUGGAUGAUUGUUGUUGAUGUGGUGACUGAGUUUAGACGGUGAGCUUUUACGUGGUGAUCAAGAAGCAGUUUAUGGAAGGUUUGGAACUAAAAGAAGGAUCUGAGUUUUAAGGCAAGUAUAGCAUGGGAUCAUCCUCCAAUUCAUAUUGCAUGUGUCUCUUUGCUAAGGAUUUCCUAGUAUUGAUCUUAUACCUUGUCACCUAUGGUUUUGCAUUGGGUAGCUUAUGCUAGUGCUCUACUAAACCAUGACAUUGUAAUUUGAUUAAUGGAAUAUGCAAUAAACAUUAAAAGAGGACUUUUUAGCAACUUUGGUAAAGAGGGCUGGAAUAUUGGGCUAUCUUAUGGUGCUCUAGUUUCUCUCCAUAAGGACUUAUCUGUAUCUGACCAUCCGGGACAUACAGUACAACUGUGAGGGCUAGAUGGCUCUGGCUUUAGCUCAGUAUGAGGACCUUUUCUAGCUUGUUAGUGGUUACCCAUGUGGCGCAAAUGGGGAAUAGCAGACCGUGGAUUCCUGCGGGUGAAUCACAUGGACUGACUAAUGAAACCAAGCGGCCCUAACUUGUUAGACGAACCUUUGAAAGGCUUCAUAGUGAACCCUGCCGGCCUCCCUAGGAAGGGGGUUAGGAGAUUAGCUACCUCGGGCGAAAGGGUAAAUCACGACUCACAGUGAAAGUGUACAACCUCUGCAGAGUGUAAAACUGAUAUAUCAGCCGUGCUCACGGUCACUAGCGGCCUUGGACCAAUACAGAAUAAAUGAUCACUAAUGGCAAAUUAUUAAAGUUAUUGUUGUUAAUAUGUUGUUUAUGCUAUUCUUUAUUCAUUUUACCUGAUCAUGAGUUUACUAUAGGACUUGACAACUUGAUGCUACUCAUAUGCUAAAAUUGUGACAACUAAAAGCUACAUGCAGUUCAACCAGUGUCUAGCCUUUGAGCCUCAUGAACCCUAUGCUAUUCUUGCUGAGUACGAGAUGUACUUACGCUUGCCUUUACAUUUUAUUUGGAUAAAAAUCCCGGAUGGGUACCAGAUUGCUAGUUUGGAGAAGAGUUUAGGCUUGUGCUCAACCAGUCAGUUGUCUCUGUGGAUUUGGAGCUUUCGCCUGAAGAACGGAGUGUCUUUCCGCUGUUUGCUAUCUAAGGUUAUUUCUUUUAUACUAAGUUCGUUAUAUAUAAGCAUUGUUUAUUGAUAUUACCCCUAUUUGUGGCUAUAUGUGAGAUUUGACUUCCUGGGCUCACAUAUGGUGUGUAUCUGGUUUUGUCCUUAAAACCGGGUGCUACACCCAUUUUCGUCGGAUUUCCAGAGUCGCACAACCGUCAAGUCUCAAGCCCUGGUCGACUUCAUCAUAGAAUGGACGGAUCUCAAUGCACCACCCUCUCCAGAUGUCUUCGAUCACUGGUCAAUGUUCUUCGAUGGGUCCUUAAACAUCAAUGGCGCUGGUGCCAGAAUCCUUUUCAUUUCACCAAACAAGGACAAACUACGCUACGUCCUUAGGAUCCUCUUCCCGACAUCCAAAAAUGUCACCAAGUACGAAGCAUGCCUGCACGGCAUCCGAUUGGUCGUCGAACUAGGAGUCAAGCGCCUUUAUGUCUACGGUGACUCUGCUCUAGUCAUCAACCUGUUAAAUAAGGAGUGGGACAUGACCCAUGAGAAAAUGGACCUGUACUGCAAAGAAAUCCGAAGGUGGGAAUCAAAAUUUUAUGGCAUAGAAUACAUCCACGUGGUCCGGGACAAGAAUCAAGCAGCAGAUGCGCUGUCAAAGGUAGGAUCAUCCUAGGCCCAGAUUCCGCAAGGUGUUUUUGUUCAGGACAUUCACACACCAAGCGUUGGAAGACCUGGUCGACAAGCCACCCAACGAGAUGCUGCUCGUAGGAAACACCGCUCCGACAACAAAUGGCAAUGACUGGCGCGCUCCUUUCGUUAAGUACCUCUCGGACGGUUCGGGAUUUCAAGACAAAACGGAGAACGAACGUCUUAUCCGACGAGCCAAAAACUAUAUACUGGUCGACGGUAAACUUAUGCACAAGAAUGCAAGCUCAGAAGUCUUGUUGAAAUGCAUAACUCAAGACGAUGACAUCAAGCUACUAGAUGACAUACACGCUGGGUCCUAUGGCAAUCACGCUGCUUCUAGAACACUGGUCGGAAAGGCUUUCCGAGCAGGUUUUUACUGGCCAACCGCAGUCGCCGAUGCUGAGAAGCUGGUCCGGCAUUGAGAAGGGUGCCAGUUCUUCGCCAAAAGGAUCCACAUACCUGCUCAUGAGAUCCAGACCAUUCCGUCGUCUUGGCCGUUCGCCUGUUGGGGCCUCGACAUGAUUGAGCUAUUCAAACAAACCCCCGGUAAUUUCAAAUUCGUUUUCGUGCUAAUUGAUAAGUUCUCCAAGUGGAUCGAGUACAUGCCACUGGUCAAAGCAACUUCCGAGAAGGCGGUAGAAUUCCUCAAUCAAAUCAUACACAGAUUCGGGAUUCCCAAUAGCAUAAUCACUGACCUGGGUACUCAGUUCACCAGCACUACAUUCUGGGACUUCUGUGAUGACAGAGGCAUAGUCAUAAAAUACGUGUCGAUAGCCCAUCCUCGGGCCAAUGGUCAAGUUGAGCGAGCCAAUGGAAUGAUUAUCGAUGCACUAAAAAAGAGGAUGUACACGGAAAUCGACAGGGCGCCGGGGCGAUGGAUGAAAGAAUUACUGGCAGUGGUCUGGGGUCUCCGAACACAACCCAGUCGGAACACGGAUGUAUCCCCCUAUUUCAUGGUUUAUGGGGCUGAGGCAGUACUCCCCUCCGACGUAGCCUUCGGAUCCCCAAGAGUCGAGCAUUUCGAUCAGUCUUCAGUAGACCACGUCAGGGAACUUGAAAUCAACUGCGCAGAAGAGAGACGUUUGGUUUCUUGCCUUCGAACAACAAAGUAUCUCGAGGCCAUAAGAUGAUACCACAACAAGAACGUCAAAGAUUGCUCCUUCGUGGUCGGUGAUCUGGUACUCAAAUGGAAAACAAGCCAGGAGGGAAUGCACAAGUUAUCUACACCCUGGGAGGGACCUUUUGUGGUCGCCGAAGUUACACGUGCUACAUCUUAUAGGCUGGCGUACCUAGAUGGAACAAGCCUGCCCAACUCCUGGCACAUAGACAAAUUACGAUGUUUCUACCCCUAAGUUUCAGUAUAUCUUACUUGUACCUCUUUUUUGAUGAAUAAUAAUAAAGUUUGUCUUUUUUGGUAUAUAUUUUUACAUAUGCAGAAUACUCGACAAGUGCGACAAUAACUUUCCUUGACAAGCUACUCAAGGGUACUCAACAUGAUUCAGUGAUACAUCACUCAAGCAAAUUUAUUUACAGCGCUCAAAACCAUGGUUCUUAAAUUUCAAACUUUAUUACAAACUUUACAAACAAAGUUUACAGUAAACACCCCUCUGGGCGGUCUCUAGUCUAUCUCUACAGACUACUCUACGAACCUACUGCUCGGGUUGCUCGCCCGCACGGGUCUCUUGCGCCGUCGAAGGGGUCGGGGCCACCGGCGCCUGGCUGGUCGAGACUGCAGGCGUCGACCGCCCAUCUCCCGCAAUCGAUGCUCCCAACAACUCCCUAGCCGACUUAUCUGACCCUGGCUGUUCAGGGGGAGUGGAUGUCCCACAAAGGUUUAUGUCGCCGAUCAUAGUCGACGACAGGUCGAGUAGGCCGACGCGAAGGUCAUCCGCCUCCUUCGGACCGACCUCCUUGGGAUACCCCCUUUCCAGCCGGGACAGGUCGACCAGGGGAUAGUGGGUGUUGACGGUCCUUAAGUAUCAAAUUUAAUUAUCAAAUAAACAAAGAAAAGGGUCCAAAUGAAAUCAACAUCUAGACUUAGGGUUUUAUCUGACAGAAUUCCAUGAGUUUUGGUGUUUGUCUAUUUCUACAGGGGGUUAUCAGGAAAUACGGAAGAAAGGCCCACACGUCGGGAUUACAUAGAGAUAUUAACGUACCGCGCAAUUAUCUUACAUCUAGAAGACUCCAGAAGCCACGAGACCGAAGCGGAGACGAAACGGGGCCAGAGGCAGGGCGCCCGCCCUGUUCCCCUGGGCGCCCGCCCCCUCCCUGAGUCCAAUCAGGACUCUGCUUCGUGGGAGAUCUCCACCGACCUAAAGGAUGAAUCUAAACCAUACAAUCUAUGUCGGUUUGAUCCAACGGCCCAUAUUAACUUGAAGGGAUUAUAAAACCAGACCCCCUGGCCCCUAGAGGAGAGAGCCUCUCAACCCUAAUUCAUUAUUUCUCAAGGGAGAAGAAGCCUCUGAUCAAGAUUAGAGCCACCACAUCAAUUAGAUAUCUAGAUUAGCAUAGCUACAUAGGAUUAGAACUAGAAGGAGUCAAUCUUCGAUUGGUUUCCGGAUCUGUCAAGAGGAUUCUUGGUAAUUCUCUAAUUGUGCUUCUAAUUGUUCUUCUAAUUAUCUUUGUUCUUCAAUAUUAUGAAUAUGACUUUGUUCUACUUCAAUAUAUUGCUUAUGACUUGGCUCUACUUGCUUAUAUUCAAGAUUAUAUUGUUCUUAGUUUAUCAUAGUUAUGUACUUGGCUUAGUUAGAUUGGAUCUAUAUACAUGCUUAGGAUCGUAUAGCGUUUAUCCAUCGGAUCCAUGGGUAAAUGAUAGAUAUUGUGUAGGCGUGGUGCUUAUACCGUAUUUAUCUGCGAUUGUACCCAAUAUGCCAGAUCGUGGGGUAGUUCGUGAUAGUGACAGCUUCAUUGAUUCUUAUAUAGUCCCCCUCUCGUGUAUUGGGCUGGCAGAGCAACAUUAUUACACGGGAGUGAUUGCUAUGUUUCUCAUUUACCUUGCUAAUAUCACUAUGCAUGGGCGUAGUCUUGUCUCACAAUGAUUGCUAGGUAUGCUUGCACUAACUAUGAUAAUGCUAGACUAUAUAGUUUAGAAUAACUUAGGGAAUAUUCUUGUAGUUCGUUCUAAUUCCAUGCUAAUGACUUUCUAGAGUAUCUAAUUGAGGUGCUUAUCAUAUUUAUUAUGUGGCUAGAUCAGAUUAAUUAUCCUUGUCACUAUUUAUUAUUUCAUAUAUCCUUUAUGUGACACUUAUCCCUGUAUGAAGAGUUAGAUAAAUGUUCUCAAUUAUACAUGCAAUGAUAGAUACUCAAUCUCAUAUUCUAUUCUGUAAUCAAUGUUGAUGAUUGCUAAUCCCUUCCUAGUGGUAAAAAUAUAAAUAACGAUACCUGGAAUACUUCCCGGUUAAAAUGCUGCAUCGGUAUUAAUCUGUGCGCUUGCAGAUCCCAUUCAUUAUUUAUUUAGAAGAGCAAUUGCAUAUUUCAAUACCGCGUCUCUCAUGUCAUGCUGGGGAUGACAACUUGGCCUAAGUGGUGUGAGGGAUAGGUUUGGAAUUUUUGGCACCGUUACUAGAUUUAGAGAACUUAGUCUACUUUUGGUAAUGAUGUUAAGAAUACCCAACAGUGGGCACGAACCAUGCUAAGGACAUGCGCCCCAGCAAACUCCCUGACAUCCUUGACAAACUGCUGAAGCCAGCCCCACGCCUGCUGCGCCUUCUCGACUGGGGUCAGCCUCGGUGCGUGGGGCUGGUCCUCGAGAAGCUCGGGGCCGAUCAGAUCCAGCACCAGAGCAACUCCUUUCCAGAGCUUUAUGCAAUUCGUCUUCCAGGAGUCCCAGUCUUUGACCAGGUCCUCGACGUGCUUCUUGGCGUUGGUCUUGAGCACUAUGACCAAUUUCAAGAAAAAAGAAAGCAAACAGUCAGCAACAUGCUAUGGCAAUAUAUAUAAAAAAACUUCGUGGUCGAAAAGGACAAAAUAGAUCCUACUAGCCAGCUCCCGAUUCUUGGUCUUCAGCUCCUCACCAACCUUGCGCUCGCUUUCCAGCGCACGGGCGCGCUCCUGGUCGAGUUGGUCUCUCUCCUUUUGGAGACGCUCGAUCUCCUCCUCCAGACCUGAAGUAAUAAUUGUUCGUCAUCAAAACCGACCAUGUGGUUAACUGCAACUACUCAGAUCACUUGACUUACCCCUCUUCUCACAGUCCUUAUCGGCUAGUCGCCGAGUCAGGUCCAGCAGAUGCUCUUCCUGAGCCGCCUUCUCGGCCACCUCCCUUUCGGCCUCUAGCCGAAGGCGGUCCACCUCCGCGGUCAGGGCCUUGUUCUCGGCGACCACGCCCUCAAUUUGGUCGAAGCACCUUUUUCGGUACUUCACCGUUUUCAUUGCGUCCUGCGGAAAUCGAACAUACCACAUAGUGAACAAAUCAUGGUAUAUAUAUACUCAAGCAAAGUAUAAGACCACUCACCUUAACUUCAUUAACAAGCCGCUUGGUAGUGCGCUCCACCCUCUCCGCCUCUUCGGUCUCAGCGAUCUCAUAUUCUAUUCUGUAAUCAAUGUUGAUGAUUGCAAAUCCCUUCCCAGUGGUAAAAAUAUAAAUAACGAUACCUGGAAUACUUCCCGGUUAAAAUGCUGCAUCGGUAUUAAUAUGUGCGCUUGCAGAUCCCAUUCAUUAUUUAUUUAGAAGAGCAAUUGCAUAUUUCAAUACCGUGUCUCUCAUGUCAUGCUGGGGAUGACAACUUGGCUUAAGUGGUGUGAGGGAUAGGUUUGGCAUUUUUGGCACCGUUACUAGAUUUAGAGAACUUAGUCUACUUUUGGUAAUGAUGUUAAGAAUACCCAACAAGCAUUUUUGGCACCGUUGCCGGGGAAGGUUGAUUACUAAUCAAGAAUGGAAUAAAGGGUUUUGAGUUAUCAUUCGCAUCACUAAUAUGAUUGAGCUUAUCUAUUCUCUUAUACAGUUUUACCCCGAUAUUUUCUAUUUUAACUUAUGCAGGGGAAUGUAUGAAUAGAAGACAUCUUCCAGGAAAUUUUGUUGACAAUCCCGAAGUAUUAUUCAAGAAGACUAGAGCCAAACUCAAGAAGAGAUCAUCAACACUUCAGCAAGAAGCUUCAUCCAAUCAAGAAGAUUACCGGAACUUGUCUUCAGAGUUCGAAGCCAUGGCAAACAAAUCAAUCCGUGAGUUCUCAGCUCCCACUACGGACAACAUCCGCACUGGACCUGCUGCAGAGAUCGAUGGCAACUUUGAGCUCAAGCCUGGACUUAUCAACAUGGUGCAAUCCAACCAGUUCUGUGGGAAGGCACACGAAGAUGCUAGUGCUCAUCUACAACACUUCCUAGAGAUUUGUAACACAUUCACCAUAUCAGGAGUUUCCAAAGAUGCUAUACUACUUCGCCUCUUCCCAUUCUCUCUAUUAGGAAGAGCGAAGCAGUGGUUCUACGCUACAAAGGAGAAGAAUACUACGUGGGUACUCUACUCAACAAACUUCCUGGCUAAGUUCUUUCCCAUGGGCAAGACUAAUGCUCUCCGUGGGAAGAUUACAAGUUUUCAGCAACAAAAUGAUGAAUCUAUUCCAGAAGCAUGGGAGCGUUUUCAAGACUACAUCCUAGAAUGUCCCCAUCAUGGAAUGGAGAGUUGGCUAUUGAUGCAGACGUUCUAUCAUGGGCUCGGCAACAGUGCCCGAGAGACCAUGGAUGCUGCAGCUGGAGGAGCAUUCUUAUCACUUACUAUACCACAAGCCACAGCUCUUGUGGAGAAGAUGGCGUCCAAUCAAAGCUGGAAUGAAGAGAGGACCCAGACACGCAAGAGAGGUGGAGGUAUGCAUCAGCUCAAGGAGGUAGACAUGCUGUCUGCAAAGCUAGACCUGCUCAUGAAGAAGCUCGAUGAUAGAGCUGGAGAUAAGAAAGAAGUUAUGCACAUCUACGACUCUCACAUGACUUGUGAGGAGUGUGGAGACACUGGACACUCAGGCAAUCACUGCCCUGAGAUGCUUGAGGAUGUGAACUACAUCAACAACAACAACAACUACUACUACAACCGUCCUCAACAAAAUCAAGGUUGGAAUCAACAGAGGCCUAACUACUCAGGUAAUUAUCAAGGUAAUAAUUCUUACAACAAUACUAAUAAUUUUCCACCUUUGAGAGAAUUAGUGUCUAAUCAAGGAAAGCUAAUGGAUAACCUAUCUAAGAAAUUGGCAUCUAAUGAUAAAAUGCUAGAAAAUAUAAAUAAUAGAAUGGAUAAUUUCUCUACUGCCAUCAAGAAUCAAAUUAGCUUUAAUAAAAUGAUUGAAUCUUAGUUAAAUCAAAUAGCUGCUGCUGUUCCUGCUACUAACCCCGGUAUACCAUCACAACCGGAAGGAUUAGAAUCUGCAAAUCUUGUAGACAUGUUUGAUGCAGGUAAUAAUUGGAGUAACCCCGUCACUGAAUUCAAUACUGACCUUCUGCCGGUCAAGAGAGGUGAUCCAGGACGCCCCGUCAUCCCGAUCUCCAUCGGCAUGGUGGACGUCCUAGAAGCACUCUGUGACUUUGGCUCUAGCGUCAACAUUAUACCCAGGGUACUCUAUGAAAAAUUCUUUACAUAUCCUUUAUUAGAGACAACCAUGUGUUUGCAGUUUGCAGAUCAGACGAUAACUUUUCCAAAAGGAAUAUUGAGGAAUCUUUGUGUCUGAGUUGGUACCUUGUAUGCCCCAGCAGACUUCGUAGUGGUAGAGACCGGAAAUGAUGAGAGGGCACCCAUCAUCUUAGGGAGGCCAUUCUUAAACACCACGGGAGCUAUCAUCUACGCUAGUGCUGCCAAGAUCAGUUUCUACAUCAAAGGGAGGAAGGAGACAUUUUUCUUGAGGAACAAGACUACACAAAUCCCUGAUCAAUCCAGACGUGAAUCAAGUAAGAGGACCAACAGGAGGAACAGGAACAAGCAAGUAUGGACCGAGUCAGCUAAGAUGGUCACUGUAGUUCAUGGAGGCCAAGAUCACCAACUUAAGUCACCGUUUUUGACCAAGAAGGAUGACCCAGGAAUGCCAAGCAUCUACUGCUCCAUAAAUGGAUACAGCUUUUACAAGACAUUUUGCGACACCGGAUCGGGCAUCAACAUAAUGGCCGCAGUCACCUAUCAGCUCUUGUUCGGAACCAUGCCACUAAGACCAACAUACAUUCAGCUCCAGAUGGCAGAUUAGACUUUUCGAAAAGUUAAAGGAAUAGUAACUGAUGUCCCAGUUAAAAUAGACGAUCAUUUUAUCUACACAGACUUUCAAGUUAUUGACAUGGGAGAAGAUGAAUACGGUCCACCCAUCAUCCUUGGAAGACCGUUCCUCAGCACCGUUAAAGCAAUCAUCUACAUUGGAACCGGAGAAGUCCAUAUGCACUUCCCCUCAGAGAAGGUACGCCGUUAUUUUACUGACCCUAACUAUAUCGUUGAAAAAUCUAAGCAGGUGAGGAAACGACGCAACCGCAACCAGAGGAGGCAAAUCAUCAAGGACGGAUGGGCAGACUAUGAAGGAGAAGUUGUAAGGUCAGAAGACGUAGAGUUUAAAGAGAAUUAUCCAGAGGAGACUGAAGCACCGAGUCAAGUAUGGAAAGAGAAGAUAAUUAUACAUGAAGAGGAGGCGCUGCCGGAAGUACCGACUCCGCCACCCAACGAAUCCUAGGACAAUUGAAGAAAACGGAGAGUCCCGUUCGGAGGACUUAAAAACACCGAACGCCUUGCCAAGAGGUAAACUUGGUAGUUAUCCUUUCCCUUUCAAUUAUUUAAAAUAGUUUGCUUAGUUACUUAUGUUCAUGCUAUCAUAAAAAGAAAAUAAAAAUGUGAAAAACAGUAAGCCCCAUGUGAGUAGACGAGUGGCAUAAAACCCAUAAGUACAUUCACUGUGGUGGCAUAAAAAUAAAAUAAAUAUUUCAUUUCUGCUUUAUAAAAUGAAAAUAUAAAAACAGGGAGUAAUAUUUAUUGAGGAGUCUCAACAUGAUAAAGGCUAGAUAUUUAUGCUAACACUUAAUCAGUCAACAAGCUUUGUUGUCUAUUUGAGCUCCGCAGAAUUUAAGAAUCAAGAAGACUAGCAGACGGAGGACAUUCUAAUCACUGUCAGAAUGCUGCUGACUUUCAAAUACACCUCUGCCACCUGCUAGCUACAUCAAGAGAAAUUACGUCAAAAUCCAGCUUGGGGGAGAGCACCCCCAUUUAUACCGAUAAGUAUUUCUAUCUAUCUAUCUAUCUUUAUACUUAUACUAUAUUAAAAUAUAAAUAUACAUAAACCAGGAAAAACCAAAUAAAGAUUUUGUGCUUAUAUAUAUAUCUUUUGCUUAGUAUGUUUAAUAAAUAAAUAAAUAAAGUGGCUAUGCUAAUCUGUAUCUAAAUAAAACUCAAGCACGGAUAUGAUGAAUAGUUGCUCUGCCUAAUUUGUAAAUUUUAAGUUCUCUCUCAAGCUUAGACAUAAUUGUUAUAAUUUAAAGCUUGCUCUAGACCUAAACUUGUGGGAUGAAAACUUGAUCUGAAGUCUAAGUUGUUAACGGAUAUGAUAUGGGAAGGUUGAGCUGCUGUUUAUCUGUUCCUAGAGAUGCUAGAAUUCUGGAGAAUUUUAUCUUUGAAAAUCUUUAAAAUGUUGCAUGAUGAGUUCCUGUUUGAUGAGAGUUUAAAUUUCUACCACAGCCAUAUAUACAUGCUUGCUAGACUUUGAGCCACACAUUUACUAUUUACUGCUUAUGAGCAUUGAGUGUGGUCAAGCUGUGUAGACCCUUAGGAGCUUGUCAUGUGGUUAAAUCAAGAUUUCACUUGCACGUUCACUCAUAUAUGCUACUUCUACUCCGAAAGUACCAUCCACAUAUAUCCACCCAUUUCCAUCUCCAGAACCACCCAAAAAUAUUCUACUCCUAACCCGGGAGAGAAUAGCCAAAAAUAUUUCUGUUUUUCCUUUAUGAAAUAAAUGCUCAAGUUAUCUUGUUACUACCACUUGCUAUAUUAUCUCAAGAGAUGAGUGCUCUAAAAAAAAGAGAAAAAAAAGAUACGAGGAAAUAAAAAGGAGCAAGUGCUCGGAACCUCGAAAGAAAAGAAAAAGUGAGACGAGAGGUAAAAAUAGACAAGUGUCCGACAGUAGAAUUAGGGGUACAAGAUACCCACCUGAGAGGAAAGAAAAUGAAGAGCAUCUCAUUCUCCUCAUAAAAUUUCAAAAAAAAGCAAGGAAGGUAUGUAUCCCCUCAAAAGAGCAAAGUAGAAUUAGACUUUCACCAUUGUUAUCACCAUCAUCACCAUAUACCAUUCGCCACACAUGCACAUCUUGAUUGAACUUAUUGGCUUGUUUCUUUGGAUCCAUGGUUUGACUAUGCAAUACAUGUCUUGUGAGUAUGUAUAUUUUAUCUCCCACCUAUGAGCUCCAGAUAUUAAAGUCUUAUUAGAGUAGGGUGAGAGAGAAGGCAAUGUCACUAUGCUUUAUACCAUACUACAUAUCUUGAGAGAAGGCAUAUACCAUCACUGCCUUGGUAAGGAUCCAGAAAUACCACAAAAAAGAGAUAUGAGAGAAUCAUACAAGGAAUCUCUGAGUUUUAUUUGAAAAUCUGCAAAAACUCCAGAACUAUAGCUGAUCAAGAAUGAGAGACCUGGCACUUGGCUAGACUGUUCUAUCUUUUAACUACUCAAGACUGAAGUGACGGUUACAAGUCCCAUGGUGAAGGUAAAGUAAGUAAGUUUUAAGUCUUGACAGUUUACUCUAACUCAGAGAUGAGAUCUUAUUUUAAAAGCAUGUGUACCGUUAAUUUUUAAAGAUAUUGCAACAACUUCUAAUCCAUUGCUGAGUCUAUCCUUGCUCAGGGACGAGCAAGAGGUAAGCUUGGGGGCGUUUGUUGACGGUCCUUAAGUAUCAAAUUUAAUUAUCAAAUAAACAAAGAAAAGGAUCCAAAUGAAAUCAACAUCUAGACUUAGGGUUUUAUCUGACAGAAUUCCACGAGUUUUGGUGUUUGUCUAUUUCUACAGGGGGUUAUCAGGAAAUACGAAAGAAAGGCCCACACGUCGGGAUUACAUAGAGAUAUUAACGUACCGCGCAAUUAUCUUACGUCUAGAAGACUCCAGAAGCCACGAGACCGAAGCGGAGACGAAACGGGGCCAGAGGCAGGGCGCCCGCCCUGUUCCCCUGGGCGCCCGCCCCCUCCCUGAGUCCAAUCAGGACUCUGCUUUGUGGGAGAUCUCCACCGACCUAAAGGAUGAAUCUAAACCAUACAAUCUAUGUCGGUUUGAUCCAAUGACCCAUAUUCACUUGAAGGGACUAUAAAACCAGACCCCCUGACCCCUGGAGGAGAGAGCCUCUCAACCCUAAUUCAUUAUUCCUCAAGGGAGAGGAAGCCUCUGAUCAAGAUUAGAGCCACCACAUCAAUUAGAUAUCUAGAUUAGCAUAGCUAUAUAGGAUU
rnacentral:lncRNA from 1 species